GGCGGGGGACGGGGGAGGGGGCGGGCGGCGGCGGCGGCGGGUGGUGGGGCCCGAAGAUGAGGCGGUCCUUGUAGGAGGAGGCCGGGGAGGGCGGCGGCGCGGCGUCGAAGUUGGAGACCGGCGCGUGGCUCCGGCAGCGGGUGGAGCAGCUGCGGCGCCGUGGUCGGGAGCAGCGGGUCCGUGUCCAUGGCCGGAGACCACCGACCGGGGCCGGGCGGGGGGUUUCUUGGUUGGAUUCUUGAUGAAUACCCUCGGGGAUUCCUCGAUGCGGCCCGAGAUUCGUCGGGAUUUUGAGCGAGGCGCGACUCGGGUUCUUAUCCUCGGGGUCGCCGGUGGGGAUGAGGUGAUUGAAGGUCGAAUGAGGAGGAGGAGGAGGAGGAGGAGGGAGGGAAGGGAGGGAGGCGGGAGGGCGGAGGCUGGCGGGACGUUGGCGAGUGGCCYACGUUGACGACGGCGAUGCCUAUAUUUCUUACGGGCUUAAUUUUGUCUUCGUUUCGUCGGGUCUURUUAWUAGUGUGUGCGUNNNNNNNNNNNNNNNNNNNNNNNNNNNNNNNNNNNNNNNNNNNNNNNNNNNNNNNNNNNNNNNNNNNNNNNNNNNNNNNNNNNNNNNNNNNNNNNNNNNNUCUCUUUCUAGCUUGUAGACCACAAACUCCGAUUUCCUGAAACAACGCGAAUAGCAAACAUUAACCAAUACAGCUGCUACAACCAAGGCAAGUUGUAUAAAAAUAGGAACUAAAACAAAUGCUCUUCCAGGAAGUGUGACGGAAAAUAUUUCUUAUUAUUCCGUUCUGGCUGUGAAGUAACUGUUAGCUAAAAGUAUUAACACCAUGAGCAUUUCGAGAAAAUUGUCUAUUUGUGUUGCCACCAAAUUAAACGUAAAUAACUAAAUGUGGGUGUAAUAUGCAGUUUCAGGAGUACAGAGCAGUCUGAUGCAAUCAGCAGCCUAAAUGACAUUGAUUUACUAUUGCAAUCUGAAUAUUGUGUUUGAAUGACAACUGGUGUAUAAUGCUAAGGCAGACAKAAAAGGGUGCAGCUUCCAUCUUUUAUUGCUUAUAAGCGCGCUCCAUUUUCUUUCUUGUGGUGCUAGACGCAAAUCACUUGGAUGCAUACAUGCCAAACCCAGCAAACAACAAAUGCUUCUACAACAAAAUGUUACAAAUCAAUGUGACUAAGAAAUGGAUGACAGAAACAAGUUAUUACCAAUUCAACNNNNNNNNNNNNNNNNNNNNNNNNNNNNNNNNNNNNNNNNNNNNNNNNNNNNNNNNNNNNNNNNNNNNNNNNNNNNNNNNNNNNNNNNNNNNNNNNNNNNUAUUAAAAGGAGAACCUUAAUAUCCCGUAUUUUCCAUUAGGACCCCGCUGCCACGGGAGGGAUGGACAAUAGAUGUCAUGCAAGUUCUUUUUCCCUAAGCAGUAUGACUACAUACGGAAUACAUGCCUACAUUAGAUUGAUGAACGGGAGCUAGUUACAUAUCUCUCUGUGUUAUAGCUGUUAGAUGAUGAAUCACAUCUGUCACACUCAUCCAUCACCGAUCCACUGCCUACGAGUCUUUUACUACUGGUUAUCGCUACGUUACUUUGCCUAGGCUUGUCCCUUGCUACCAAAGGGAUUGGGCCACUUUGCUGUUGCUGUCACUACUGUUGUUACUUGUUACUUUGCUACCGCUGCUACUACUGUUCCUUGCUACUCCGACGUUACUUGUUGCAGGUACUUUGUUGGCGCUAACAUCCCGUCAACAAGGUCUUUUUCUGGUGCCGUUUCCGGGAUUGUCAAGUCCUUUUCUGGUGCCGUUGCUAUCAUACUACCUUGCUACUGUACNNNNNNNNNNNNNNNNNNNNNNNNNNNNNNNNNNNNNNNNNNNNNNNNNNNNNNNNNNNNNNNNNNNNNNNNNNNNNNNNNNNNNNNNNNNNNNNNNNNNACAUAUUAGAAAAAAUACUUUAGAACAAACAUUCGAUAACUUUAAUGAAGAAUUUGAGAAAAUAUUAAUCAAGCAUUUGUAAAAACUAAAUGUGUGUUGAAAAAAUAAUCUCAUGAAUAUGAAAACUUUAUACAAAAAUAUACAUUGUGUAUGAAAACAUUUGAUGACGUAUUUUAAAAAUGUUAUUCUUGUAGUUAAAAAAUGUUAAUAAAUAAUUUCAAAACGUUAAAUAUGUAUAGAAAAAAGGUCGACAAUGCACUAUAAUGUUAAUACUGUAUUUGAAAAAUAUGUUAAUCAAGCAUUGGAAAAUAAUAAUAAAUGAGUAUCGACAAAAUAUGGGACAUGUAUUAAAGAAAUGUUAAUCAAAUAAUUUUAAAAAAUGUUUAAAGUGUGUAUUAUAAAUAUUGACCAUGUAUUUAAAUAAUGUUAAUCUUGUAUUGGAAACUAUUAACCAUCAAUUACAAUAUAUUAGAUAUAUACCAAAAUAGUACAGUGUGUGCGUNNNNNNNNNNNNNNNNNNNNNNNNNNNNNNNNNNNNNNNNNNNNNNNNNNNNNNNNNNNNNNNNNNNNNNNNNNNNNNNNNNNNNNNNNNNNNNNNNNNNAUAUUUUUAUUCACCACAUGAUAUGUGUUUUGCUUGGAGUGUAUUGUAUCGUCGGAGUCUUUUCUUUUUGUUGUGUCACAAUCAUCCUUGCUGCACACCUUUAUAGGGAGCCAUGCACUCAUCGUGAUUUUGCUAGAAUGCUCAUCGUGCUUCACUUAUAUCUUUUGAGCUAGAUAAUUUUGCUCUAUUUGCUUCACUUAGAUAUUUUAGAGCACGACGGUGUGUGACUUGGUAGUUGGCUUUAUGCUAUGAAAGUAGUCCCAAAGGUGAUAGGUGAUACGUCUCAAACGUAUCUAUAAUUUUGAUGGUUUCAUGCUGUUAUCAUGUCAACUUUGCAUGUUUUAUGUACCUUUUAUAUCUUUUUGGGACUAACUUAUUAAUUUAGUGCCAAGUGCCUAGUUCCUUUUUUUCUGUUAGUUUUUGACUCUUUUCAGAUCUGAUUUUGGAAUGGAGUCCCAAAACGGAAAUAAAAACUACCCCCAAAAUCUAAUUUUUUCCAGAACGGAAGAACGAUCAGGGGACUUGACGGGCCAAGGCAANNNNNNNNNNNNNNNNNNNNNNNNNNNNNNNNNNNNNNNNNNNNNNNNNNNNNNNNNNNNNNNNNNNNNNNNNNNNNNNNNNNNNNNNNNNNNNNNNNNNCAUUUGUCAUCUAAGAAGUUUACACAAAAACAACAAAGUAGCAAGGAAAAACUCAAAACCCUAGCCACCAUUUCAAKUAAAGGAAAUCWCAAACUAGUUCAAAAUCAAUGAACCCAAAAUGGCCUCAAGAAAUGUUCAAACUUUCUGAUAAAUCAUGAAAGUAAAUGAGCAUUGGAGAAAACUAUUUUCUUGACACUUUAAGCUUUUUGAAUAAAUGAAAAAGGCUACUGGUUUCAAGUUUUAAAUUUGAAAUCAGAAACUAUAAAUUUCCAAAAAAUGUUGAAAACCUUGGAAAUGGUUGGGGGAUAUUAUAACAAAUAUUUCAGGAGGUCUAAAAUUAGUUUUUACUUGUUGUUUGGAGCUGAAUUAAUUAGCAAAACAAUAAUUAGACAAAACAGAAAAACAAAAACAGAAAAAAAUAGGAAAAACCUUACCUAGUACGACCUAAGCCUCGGCCCGGCCCAUCCCGUGGCCUCCGGUCCCCUCCCGUCGCCGCCGAGUACGGCACGCGAGGNGGUCGGCCCGCCCGCCCCGUCCGGCCGGCCGGCCGACCGNNNNNNNNNNNNNNNNNNNNNNNNNNNNNNNNNNNNNNNNNNNNNNNNNNNNNNNNNNNNNNNNNNNNNNNNNNNNNNNNNNNNNNNNNNNNNNNNNNNNAGUAGCUACUAAAGUUAGACGACUAGGUAUUCGAACCCCAUACAUAUCAAGUACGACACACGUACGCAUGACAUAACCGUUAUGUAUAGAUACAUCGAUGGCAUCACAACACAACCAUAAACAUACAACCUUUAUUUAAGAGGCUCGGAAGAGCCACACAACAUAAUAUUACACAUUUAAGGGUCUCACGUACCCUAUAAUAGCAGUCAUGCAAUUACAAGCCAACGGAGAGUUAUAAACUGUCUGGGUACAGACAGGGCAACUAGAAGGCACGAUGGCCUGACUAUACUACAGAGCCGGACGUAGGGCCAGAUCGUAGCUGGGACACCAGCUACUCGUCGUCGUCGAUGUCUACGAAGAACCCUCCAUUAGGGUCAUUAGGCAAACCUCUGCAACUAUUUAUUAAGCAAACAUGAGUACGAAGGUACUCAGCUAAGUACUUUUCGGAGAACGUAAACUACUCAUAGCAAGGUAUACUAAAAGGUACUUGUGGGGUUUCAUGCGGGAAGCCAAGGCAGUUUGACUCGUGGCUAGUACAACUUUGCANNNNNNNNNNNNNNNNNNNNNNNNNNNNNNNNNNNNNNNNNNNNNNNNNNNNNNNNNNNNNNNNNNNNNNNNNNNNNNNNNNNNNNNNNNNNNNNNNNNNAUGCUGUGUUAACAUUUUAAGUUUCUAUAAUUUAAUUUGUAUAGACUAAAUUUAAGAUUUCUAAUAUUUGUAUUUGGUAACAUUUUAAAAAAUAAUGAAUGAAACAAAAUAAUUGAAUUCUAUUUUAACUAGAAGGUAACAUACACAUGUGGUUUUUCAUAAUAGGCACGUACACUAGAUUACUAGUAACUAGAGGAUACCCCACACAAUGCUACAAGAAUUUCUUGAUAAAAAUUUAGGUUGAUAACAUGAGAAUCAAAAUUUAAACUACACAUAACUUAUUUUUGAUUAUGUAUAGUUGUAAAAUAUUUUCUGAAUAUAACCAAAAUAAUUAAAUGGAAAAUAUUUUUCCCAUGCAUCAUUGAAUGUUGCGGUGAUUUUUUGCCAUGCAUGGUUGCAUGUUGACCUCGACCUUAUCCAAUUAAUAGUCUUAUGGUGAUGUGGCAUGUUUAUAUGUGAAGACAAAUACUUAGUGGGAUAGCUCUCUUUAAUAUAUAUGAUUGUUAUUCUAACAAUUCAGUAUACUACUCCCUCUUGUUUCUUAAUUAUUAAGUUUUUUAGUAAAUUACUAUUAAGUAAAUUAGUCAUACAGUAUGUAUAUAGACUANNNNNNNNNNNNNNNNNNNNNNNNNNNNNNNNNNNNNNNNNNNNNNNNNNNNNNNNNNNNNNNNNNNNNNNNNNNNNNNNNNNNNNNNNNNNNNNNNNNNAUGAUGUAGAUGGCAAGACUCACUAUCUAUGNUAAUACCAUCUGUACUGAUGCACANCCUAUCCCCUGUGUGCCUUGCUGCCCCUUCUAUCACUGGGAAAGGUCACCACACGGUAUGAACCCAAACCAAGCACUUCUCCCAUUGCAAGAAUCAUAGAUCUAGUUGGCCAAACAAAACCCAAGACUCGGAGAGACUUACAAGGAUAUGAAAUCAUGCAUAUAAGAAAUCAGCAAAGACUCAAAUAUAUAUCAUAGAUAAUCUGAUCACAAAUCCACAAUUCAUCGGAUCUCGACAAACACACCGCCAAAGAGGAUUACAUCGGAUAGAUCUCCAUGAAGAUCAUGGAUAACUUUAUAUUGAAGAUCCAAGAGAGAGAAGAAGCCAUCUAGCUACUAACUACGGACCCAAAGUGUGAAGUGAACUACUCACGAGUCAUUGGAGGGGCGGAUGAUGUUGAUGUAGAAGCCCUCCAACUCCAAAGUCCCCUCCGUCAGGGCACCGGGAAGGGUCUCUAGAUGAGAUCUCGCGGAAACGGAAGCUUGCGGCGGCGGAAAAGWGUUUUCGUCGAUUCCCCUAUUUUUUCUUGUAUUUUAGGGAAUAUAUAGGCGAAGGAGCUAGGUCAGGGGGGCGACCAAGGAGGCCACAAGCCUGGUAGCCGUCGCCCCUGGUGGCGGCUACACGGCUUGUGGGCCCCGUGUGGCUCUCCUGUCUUGGCCCUCAAGUCCCCUGAUCUUCUUCCUUUAUAGANNNNNNNNNNNNNNNNNNNNNNNNNNNNNNNNNNNNNNNNNNNNNNNNNNNNNNNNNNNNNNNNNNNNNNNNNNNNNNNNNNNNNNNNNNNNNNNNNNNNGACCUAGCUCCUUCACCUAUAUAUUCCCUAAAAUACAGAAAAAAUAGGGGAAUCCACGAAAACACUUUUCCGCCGCCGCAAGCAUCCGUUUCCGUGAGAUCUCAUCUGGAGACCCUUCCCGGUGCCCUGCCGGAGGGGACUUUGGAGUUGGAGGGCUUCUACAUCAAUAUCAUCGCCCCUCCAAUGACUCUUGAGUAGUUCACUUCACACCUACGGGUCCGUAGUUAGUAGCUAGAUGGCUUCUUCUCUCUCUUGGAUCUUCAAUACAAAGUUCUCCAUGAUCUUCACGGAGAUCUAUCCGAUGUAAUCCUCUUUGGCGGUGUGUUUGUCGAGAUCCGAUGAAUUGUGGAUUUGUGAUCAGAUURUCUAUGAUAUAUAUUUGAGUCUUUGCUGAUUUCUUAUAUGCAUGAUUUGAUAUCCUUGUAAGUCUCUCCGAGUCUUGGGUUUUGUUUGGCCAAUUAGAUCUAUGAUUCUUGCAAUGGGAGAAGUGCUUGGUUUUGGGUUCAUACCGUGUGGUGACCUUUCCCAGUGACAGAAGGGGCAGCAAGGCACACAGGGGAUAGGNNNNNNNNNNNNNNNNNNNNNNNNNNNNNNNNNNNNNNNNNNNNNNNNNNNNNNNNNNNNNNNNNNNNNNNNNNNNNNNNNNNNNNNNNNNNNNNNNNNNGCUAUUAUCUUGUCAAACUUUGGAUGUUUGCUAUGCCUUUAUAUAUUUUUGGUACUAACUUAUUAACUCAGUGCCAAGUGCUAGUUCCUGUUUUUUUCCAUGUUUUUUUACCCCUUUCACAGGAGGAUUUUUGAACGGAGUCCAAACGGAAUGAAACUGCCAAAAAGAUUUUUUCCGGAACACAAAAAGAUCGGAGAGCCGGAGAAUCAGGGCACGGGGCCACCAGGGACCCCACAAGCCCUCACGACGCGGCGAGGGGGAGGCCGCGGCCCCCUGGCUUGUGGGCUCCCUCAGGCUCCGUUGCCCUAGGUUUGCGCCUAUAUAUUCCCAAAAAUCCCAUAAAAAUCAGGAGAUCAUCGAAAGUACUUUUCCGCUGCCGCAAGCUUCUGUCUCCGCAAGAUCCCAUCUGGGGCACGUUCUGGUGCCCUGCCGGAGGGGGGAUUCGGACACGGAGGGCUUCUUCAUCAACACCAUGACCUCUCCGAUGAUGCGUGAGUAGUUCACCAUAGACCUACGGGUCCAUAGCUAGUAGCUAGAUAGCUUCUUCUCUCUCUUGGAAUUUCAAUACAAAGUUCUCCAUGAUCUUCAUGGAGAUCUAUCCGAUGUAAUCUUCUUUUGCGGUGUGUUUGUCGAGAUCCGAUGAAUUGUGGAUUUAUGAUCAGAUUAUCUAUGAAUAUAUAUUUGAGUCUUUGCUGAUUUCUUAUAUGCAUGAUUUCAUAUCCUUGUAAGUCUCUCCGAGUCUUGGGUUUUGUUUGGCCAACUAGAUCUAUGAUUCUUGCAAUGGGAGAAGUGCUUGGUUUUGGGUUCAUACCGUGUGGUGACCUUUCCCAGUGAUAGAAGGGGCAGCAAGGCACACAGGGGAUAGGNNNNNNNNNNNNNNNNNNNNNNNNNNNNNNNNNNNNNNNNNNNNNNNNNNNNNNNNNNNNNNNNNNNNNNNNNNNNNNNNNNNNNNNNNNNNNNNNNNNNCCGUACCCAGGGACCCCGACCGAAGACCCGUCACGACGACGGCGACGGGGGAGGGCCCGCGGGCCCCCUUCGGCCGUUUGUGGGCGUCCCUCCAGGCGUCSGUUGCCCUAGGUUUGCGCCUAUAUAUUCCCAAAAAUCCAUAAAAAARUCAGGAGAUCAUCGAAAGUACUUUUCCGCUGCCGCAAGCUUCUGUCUCCGCAAGAUCCCAUCUGGGGCACGUUCUGGUGCCCUGCCGGAGGGGGGAUUCGGACACGGAGGGCUUCUUCAUCAACACCAUGACCUCUCCGAUGAUGCGUGAGUAGUUCACCAUAGACCUACGGGUCCAUAGCUAGUAGCUAGAUAGCUUCUUCUCUCUCUUGGAAUUUCAAUACAAAGUUCUCCAUGAUCUUCAUGGAGAUCUAUCCGAUGUAAUCUUCUUUUGCGGUGUGUUUGUCGAGAUCCGAUGAAUUGUGGAUUUAUGAUCAGAUUAUCUAUGAAUCUUAUUUGAGUUUCUUCUGAUCUCUCUUAUGCAUGAUUUCAUAUCCUUGUAAUUCUCUUCGAGUUGUGGGUUUUCUUUGGCCAACUAGAUUUAUGAUUCUUGCAAUGGGAGAAGUGAUUGGUUUUGGGUUCAUACCGUGCGGUGACCUCACCUAGUGACAGGAAGGGGUAGCAAGGCACACGAGGGGAUAGGNNNNNNNNNNNNNNNNNNNNNNNNNNNNNNNNNNNNNNNNNNNNNNNNNNNNNNNNNNNNNNNNNNNNNNNNNNNNNNNNNNNNNNNNNNNNNNNNNNNNCCUAUCCCCUGUGUGCCUUGGAGCCUUGCGUUGGUGUUCCCUCGAAGCGGAAAGGGUGAUGUAGCACAAUGGCGGUAAGUAUUUCCCUCAGUUUUGAGAACCAAGGUAUCGAUCCAGUGAAGGAUUGUCACAAGUACCUACACAAACACAAAGAGCUUGCACCCAACGCUAUGAGGGGUUUGUCAAUCCCUUAUAGAUUGUUUCCCAAGUGAGAACUGAAAGCAACAAAGAGUAAACACAACAAAGUAAAAGUGAAAGUGGAAACGAUAGGUGUCAAUAGACCCGGGGGCCGUAGUGUUCACUAGUGGCUUCUCUCAUGAAAUCAAGUAGACGGUGGGUGAACGAAUUACUGUCGAGCAAUUGAUAGAACCGCGCAAAGUCAUGACGUUAACUAUGGCAAUGAUUAUAUCUAUAGGGAUCACGUCCAAAACAAGUAGACCGAUACUUUCUGCAUCUACUACUAUUACUCCACACGUCGACCACUAUCCAACAUGCAUCUAGUGUAUUAAGUUCAUGAGAACAGAGUAACGCCUUAAGCAAGAUGACAUGAUGUAGAUGGACAAUCUCAUAUCUAUGAUAAAAUCCCAUCUUGUUACCGUUGAUGGCAACAACAUGAUNNNNNNNNNNNNNNNNNNNNNNNNNNNNNNNNNNNNNNNNNNNNNNNNNNNNNNNNNNNNNNNNNNNNNNNNNNNNNNNNNNNNNNNNNNNNNNNNNNNNACCUUGCUCUGAUACCAAUUAGAAAAGUACCUCGAUGACGCCUAGAGGGGGGUGAAUAGGCUAUUUAAAAACUUCUUCGGAUUUGGCUUAACCUAAUGCGGAAAUAAACUAAGAGGGUACUUGUCAAGCACAAAUCCUAAAUGCACUAGGCACUGCAACGUGUAUCAACAACACGAUCUACCAAGAUGGACACAAUACAGUUACUAACGAUCACAAGUAAGUUACACAAACUUACUUGAGCUAUAUCACACGACAAGUAGGUGAACGACACAAGAUACUAGAUCACGCUAUAUCACACGAUAUAUCAAAAGCUGCAAGUGUGAACGUGUGGAUAUAGAGGGUAUGCUUGAGUGAUUAAUCUUGUACAAGAAAUAGGCAACACAAUAUAGUGAGCACAACCAAUAUGCAAUGUACGUAUGCUCAAGUAACACAAGUAAACCACAAGUAAGGAGUUAGGGUCAAGGAUAACCAAGGUCACUGAGACGAAGAUGUAUCUCGAUGUUCACUUCCUUGGAGGGAAGCUAGUCACCGUUAGAGAGGUGGAUGUUACCACGAAGGCACACAGGGGAUAGGAGCUNACCUAUCUCCUUGAGACUACACCACGAAGCGUUUCNCACCAUAGUGGUAANCCUUUGAGGUUGGCUUCCAAACCUNNNNNNNNNNNNNNNNNNNNNNNNNNNNNNNNNNNNNNNNNNNNNNNNNNNNNNNNNNNNNNNNNNNNNNNNNNNNNNNNNNNNNNNNNNNNNNNNNNNNAUGAGGAUGAUGCCUGAUUAAUUGAUGAUAUUGAUGAGGGUGAUCCUUGAGUAUGUGAUAGCAUUGCUGGUUUUCCCUCCUUUUUGGUCCUUGAUGCCAAAGGGGGAGACCAUUAUCUUAUCUUAGUUUUCGAUUUUAGUUCCUCUCACAAUGUAUGGUAUGAUGUAUUAUGUCGAACUUAAUGAUGUAUCAUCAUGUAACAAUACUUAUGGAUGGUGUGCUAUGCCAUCACCUAUGGAUGAUGUAUUGUUGAACUAUCAUGUGGUGAUGAGAUAUCACGAUAUUAUCGUUGUGUCAUAUGAUGAUGAGUUUUAUGCUAUCCUAUUGAUUCAUAUGAUAUGCUAUGUAUUGUUGAACUAUUAUGGUGUUAUAUCAUGCUAUUAUCUUCAAUGCACACAUUAAGGGGUAGCUCUCGCACUUACCUAUUUUACUAUGCAUAUAAUAAGGGGGAGCUUCAUAAGCAUCGUAACAAAACUCUCCUAAGCCACACAUGUCUAUUACUAUUGUUGAGAGCUAUAUGUAUGUUGUCAUCAACUACCGAAAAAGGGGGAGAUUGAAAGUGUAGUCAUGCCCUUAAUCGUGUUUUGGUGUUGCUGACAACACACAUAUAGAUAAUUAAUCACUWAMCCUUUUUAAGCUAUUGUGAAUGAUCAUGUGUUNNNNNNNNNNNNNNNNNNNNNNNNNNNNNNNNNNNNNNNNNNNNNNNNNNNNNNNNNNNNNNNNNNNNNNNNNNNNNNNNNNNNNNNNNNNNNNNNNNNNACACACAAACUUUCAGCUCACGAAAAGAAUUUUCAUUUUUUUCUAUUAAGGGAUUUUUAGUUGAUUCUUUUUUAUUCUAAUUUCUACACAAAUUCUUCAGACUGUCGUAAUUUCUCAGAAUUGUUUAAGUACUAGAAGUAUACGAAGUAUACAGAUUACUACAGACUGGUCUGCUGUUAACAGAUUCUGUUUUUUGUUGUGUUGGUUGCUUAUUUUGAUGAAACUAUGGAUAGUAUCGGGGGGUAUUAGCCAUGGAAUAUUGAAAAUACAGUAACCCAACAUCAACAUAAGUAGAAUUUAAGUUUGCUACACUAUCUAAGGAAGUGGUGGUUUGCUUUCUUAUACUAAUGUUAUCACGAGUUUCUAUUUAAGUUUUGUGUUGUGAAGUUUUCAAGUUUUGGGUGAAGUUCUUAUGGACAAAAGGUAAAGAGUGGCAAGAUCUCAAGCUUGGGGAUUCCCAAGGCACACAGGGGAUAGGUCAGAUNCGUAAGCUAGCUGGAUNNNNNNNNNNNNNNNNNNNNNNNNNNNNNNNNNNNNNNNNNNNNNNNNNNNNNNNNNNNNNNNNNNNNNNNNNNNNNNNNNNNNNNNNNNNNNNNNNNNNAAGAUAGUGCUUUWWUCUAUAGAUAUGAAAUUGUCCAUCUACAUCAUGUCAUCUUGCUUAAGGCGUUACUCUGUUCUCAUGAACUUAAUACACUAGAUGCAUGCUGGAUAGCGGUAGACGUGUGGAGUAAUAGUAGUAGAUGCAGAAAGUAUCGGUCUACUUGUUUUGGACGUGAUGCCUAUAGAUAUAAUCAUUGCCAUAGAUAACGUCACGACUUUGCGCUGUUCUAUCAAUUGCUCGACUGUAAUCCGUUCACCCACCGUCUACUUGCUUUCAUGAGAGAAUCCACUAGUGAACACUACGGCCCCCGGGUAUAUUCACACCUAUCGUUUCCACUUUCACUUUUACUUUGCUCUUGUUUACUCUUUGUUGUCUUUUAGUUCUCUACUUGGCAAACAAUCUAUAAGGGAUUGACAACCCCUUCAUAGCGUUGGGUGCAAGCUCUUUGUGUUUGUGCAGGUACUUGUGACAAUCCUUCACUGGAUCGAUACCUUGGUUCUCAAACNNNNNNNNNNNNNNNNNNNNNNNNNNNNNNNNNNNNNNNNNNNNNNNNNNNNNNNNNNNNNNNNNNNNNNNNNNNNNNNNNNNNNNNNNNNNNNNNNNNNAACGAUCUAGCUUGGCGUAUGACGUUGAAACAUACUCGCUAGCUAUCUUACGAUCAUGCAAUGGAAAUAAUGAGAGUGACGACACAAGUCAUGAGACGGAACGGUGGGAGUUGCAUGGCAAUAUAUCUCGGAAUGCCUAUGAAAAUGCCAUAGUAGGUAGGUAUGGUGGCUGUUUUGAGGAAGGUACAUGGUGGGUUUGUGUACCGGCGAAAGUUGCGCGGCACUAGAGAGGCUAGCAAUGGUGGAAGGUGAAAGUGCAUCUAUACCAUGGAUUGACAUUAGUCAUGAAGAACUCACAUACUUGUUGCGAAAGUUUUUAUUAGUAAUCGAAACAAAGUGCUAAACGCAUACUCCUAGGGGAAGGGUUGGUAGGUGUUAACCAUCAUGCGACCCCGACCGCAACACAAAGGAUGUCAAUCAAUAGAUCAAUUAUGCUCCGACUUCCUAACAUAGCGGUUCACCAUACGUGCAAGCUACGGGAAUCACUAACUUCAACACAAGUAUUCAGAUUCACAACACCCUACUAACAUAACUCUUAAUAUUAUCAAAUCCACGUCUCAAAACUAUUGAGNNNNNNNNNNNNNNNNNNNNNNNNNNNNNNNNNNNNNNNNNNNNNNNNNNNNNNNNNNNNNNNNNNNNNNNNNNNNNNNNNNNNNNNNNNNNNNNNNNNNAAUGGCACGAGGAAUCCUUGUGCUACGGCUACGCCUUUUAGGGACUUCCUUGGCAAAUAUGCAAAGGRWUYCCCCGUGGCCUUGGAGCCUUGMGUUGGUGUUCCCUYGAAGMGGAAAGGGUGAUGUAGCACAGCGGCGGUAAGUAUUUCCCUSAGUUUUGAGAACCAAGGUAUCGAUCYAGUGGGAGGAUCGCGUCAAGCCACAAGUACCUGCACAAACACAAAGAUCUUGCACCCAACGCUAUGAAGAGGUUGUCAAUCCCUUAUAGAUUGUUUGCAAAGUGAGAACUGAAAGCAAAAAGUAAACAAAGCAAACUAAAAGUGAAAGUGGAGACGAUAGUUGUGAAUAGACCCGGGGCCGUAGUGUUCACUAGUGGCUUCUCUCAUGAAAGCAAGUAGACGGUGGGUGAACGAAUUACUGUCGAGCAAUUGAAUAAACCGCGCAAAGUCGUGACGUUAUCUAUGGCAAUGAUUAUAUCUAUAGGCAUCACGUCCAAAACAAGUAGACCGAUACUUCUGCAUCUACUACUAUUACUNNNNNNNNNNNNNNNNNNNNNNNNNNNNNNNNNNNNNNNNNNNNNNNNNNNNNNNNNNNNNNNNNNNNNNNNNNNNNNNNNNNNNNNNNNNNNNNNNNNNGGAAUAAAAUCCCCGAAAUAAAUUUUUCCCGAACGGAAGAAGAUCAAGGGGCUUGAGGGCCAAGCCAGGAGAGCUACAGGGGGCCCACAAGCCCUGUAGCCGCUACCAGGGGCGGCGGCUAGCAGGCUUGUGGCCUCCCUGGCCGCCCCCCUGACCUAGCUCCUUCGCCUAUAUAUUCCCUAAAAUACAGAAAAAAAUCAAGGGAUCCACGAAAAUACUUUUCCGCUGCCGCAAGCUUCCGUUUCCGCAAGAUCUCAUCUAGAGACCCUUCUCGAUGCCCUGCUGGAGGGGACUUCGGAGUUGGAGGGUUUCUACAUCAACAUCAUCGCCCCUCCAAUGACUCGUGAGUAGUUCACUUCAGACCUACGGGUCMGUAGUUAGUAGCUAGAUGGCUUCWUCUCUCUCUUGGAUCUUCAAUAYRAAGUUCUCCAURAUSUUCWUGGAKAUCUAUCCGAUGUAAUCCCUUUUGGCGGUGUGUUUGUCGAGAUCCGAUGAAUUGUGGUAUUUGUGAUCAGAUUAUCUAUGAUAUAUAUUUGGAGUUCUUUGUUAGUAUUUCUUAUAUGCANNNNNNNNNNNNNNNNNNNNNNNNNNNNNNNNNNNNNNNNNNNNNNNNNNNNNNNNNNNNNNNNNNNNNNNNNNNNNNNNNNNNNNNNNNNNNNNNNNNNGGGGGAGGUGAUUGGGGUGAAUGGGUGGUUGGGGGGGGGGCAUCCUAAUCAUCUUAUCCAUGUCAGGACCCUACCGCCAGGGUCUACCACGGUAGGUGUAGAUACCCUACCGCUAGGCUGGUUGGCUUAGGUCCUUUCUCACGUCAACGACUAACUGCCAUCCGUCGUCCUCCGUCAAUCUAUCGUCACGGGCGCCGACGGUUGUGCCAGCCUACCGCAACGGCCUACAAUGGUAGGUGAAAGAGUCAAAUCCUGAUUAUUUUUUUCAAACUAGGGUCAAAUGUCGAUUUACCUCACAAAAAAGUUCAAAACACGAAAUUUAGCCAAGGAGAGGCAAGCUUCGUUUUUGGAUCCACCUUCGCCGCAGAACGCCAAACUUCCUGGACACCCAAAUUGUCACUAGGUCCAAGUCGUCACCUACAUUUUACACAUGUCCAACAAACCAUGUCAUCUCUAUCUCAAACAGAGCCAGAAAAAAGAGAGAAUUAAAUUUCAUGACAGCCUGACCGUGUCUUAAGUCCAGAAAACGACGUCAAAUCAUUCAAACAAAACGGACGCGUGGUAUGUGCUGUAGAGAUCUGAUCUAUCCAUCUAACCAAAAAGUGAGGCGUUGGUCCAUCCAACCGGGCCUGAAUCAGCUAUGUGGUCCACACCUGUCAUCCAUCUCAUGUUUGACCUAAAACAGCCCCCCCNNNNNNNNNNNNNNNNNNNNNNNNNNNNNNNNNNNNNNNNNNNNNNNNNNNNNNNNNNNNNNNNNNNNNNNNNNNNNNNNNNNNNNNNNNNNNNNNNNNNGCCAUACCUGACCGUGGUCACCGACAUCACUGCAAGGUAAACGACAUCAAGCCAGCCCAUGCUCUCCACCUUCCUGAGCACGGUGACCCCAACACCGACGCAGAUGGCCACCACACCAAGGGCGAGGGCGACCUUCAUGCGGACGCGCAUUCGGCCCUUCUUGAUGUCAAAGAUGUAGUUGUGCCUGUGCUUGCGUGCAGAGCGGGGGUUCUUGAUUGCGGUGAUGAGGAGGUGCUCCUGGAGGUCGAGCACAUAGGACACCAUGCCGGAGAGGAGGAUGUCGACGAAGCCGAAGCCGAUGAGGACGAAGGAUAUGGCGAAGAGCUUGGCGGCAGGGCUGGCCGGGGUGAUGUCCCCGUAGCCGAUUGUGCAGAGCGUGACGAUGCAGAAGUAGAGGGCGUCGACGACGGGGUGGGUGGGCCCGGCGGAGGAGGUGAAGUUGGCCGGGAAGGCGGCGUAGAAGGUGACGCCGAGGGCGAGGUAGGCGAGCAAGAAGAGGAAGGCGUGCAGCACGAUGGCCGGCCUCCGCGGCGGCGGUGGCGGGUUGUGGUGGUCGGCCUCGGCGGAGGCGGCGAGGACGGCGNNNNNNNNNNNNNNNNNNNNNNNNNNNNNNNNNNNNNNNNNNNNNNNNNNNNNNNNNNNNNNNNNNNNNNNNNNNNNNNNNNNNNNNNNNNNNNNNNNNNAAAGAAAAAGUGUAAGCCCGAAAAUAUGGUGUGGAGUAGACCCGGGGGCCAUAGUGUUCACUAGAGGCUUCUCUCAAAAUAGCAAAUAUUAUGGUGGGUGAACAAAUUACCGUCGAGCAAUUGAUGGAACCACGCAAAGUCAUGACGAUAUCUAAGGCAAUGAUCAUACAUAUAGGCAUCACGUCCGAGACAAGUAGACCGAUACUUUCUGCAUCUACUACUAUUACUCCACACAUCGACCGCUAUCCAGCAUNNNNNNNNNNACGAACAGAGUAACGUCUUAAGCAAGAUGACAUGAUGUAGAGGGAUAAUCUCAAACCAAUGAUGAAAACCCCAUCUUUUUACCCUUGAUGGUAACAACACGAUGCAUGCCUCGCUACCCCUUCUGUCACUGGUUGAGGUCACCGCACGGUAUGAACCCAAAACCAAGCACUUCUCCCAUUGCAAGAAUCAUAGAUCAAGAUGGCCAAACAAAACCCAUAACUCGAAGAGAAUUACAAGGAUAUGAAAUCAUGCAUAAGAGAGAUCAUAAGAAACUCAAAUAAGAUUCAUAGAUAAUCUGAUCAUAAAUCCACAAUNNNNNNNNNNNNNNNNNNNNNNNNNNNNNNNNNNNNNNNNNNNNNNNNNNNNNNNNNNNNNNNNNNNNNNNNNNNNNNNNNNNNNNNNNNNNNNNNNNNNGCACAAACACAAAGAGCUUGCACCCAACGCUAUGAAGGGGUUGUCAAUCCCUUAUAGAUUGUUUGCCAAGUGAGAACUAAAAGCAACAAAGAGUAAACAGAGCAAAGUAAAAGUGAAAGUGGAAACGAUAGGUGUGAAUAUACCCGGGGGCCGUAGUGUUCACUAGUGGAUUCUCUCAUGAAAGCAAGUAGACGGUGGGUGAACGGAUUACAGUCGAGCAAUUGAUAGAACAGCGCAAAGUCGUGACGUUAUCUAUGGCAAUGAUUAUAUCUAUAGGCAUCACGUCCAAAACAAGUAGACCGAUACUUUCUGCAUCUACUACUAUUNNNNNNNNNNUACCGCUAUCCAGCAUGCAUCUAGUGUAUUAAGUUCAUGAGAACAGAGUAACGCCUUAAGCAAGAUGACAUGAUGUAGAUGGACAAUUUCAUAUCUAUGAUAAAAGCACAUCUUGUUACCCUUGAUGGCAACAACAUGAUGCGUGCCUUGCUGCCCCUUCUGUCACUGGGAAAGGUCACCACACGGUAUGAACCCAAAACCAAGCACUUCNNNNNNNNNNUGAUAAAAUCCCAUCUUGUUACCGUUGAUGGCAACAACAUGAUGCGUGCCUUGCUGCCCCUUCUAUCACUGGGAAAGGUCACCACACGGUAUGAACCCAAAACCAAGCACUUCUCCCAUUGCAAGAAUCAUAGAUCUAGUUGGCCAAACAAAACCCAAGACUCAGAGAGACUUACAAGGAUAUCAAAUCAUGCAUAUAAGAAAUCAGCAAAGACUCAAAUAUAUAUCAUAGAUAAUCUGAUCACAAGUUCACAAUUUGUCGGAUCUCGACAAACACACCACCAAAGAAGAUUACAUCGGAUAGAUCUCCAUGAAGAUCAUGGAGAACUUUGUAUUGAAGAUCCAAGAGAGAGAAGAAGCCAUCUAGCUACUAACUACGGACCCGUAGGUCUGAAGUGAACUACUCACGAGUCAUUGGAGGGGCGAUGAUGAUGAUGAAGAAGCCCUCCACCUCCAAAGACCCCUCCGGCAGGGUGCCGGGAAGGGUCUCAAGAUGAGAUCUCGCGGAAACGGAAGCUUGCGGCGGCGGAAAAGUAUUUUCGAGGCUCCCCUGACUUUUUGCGGAAUAUUUGGGAAUAUAUAGGCGCAAGACCUAGGUCAUGGGGCUGCCAGGGAGGCCACAAGCUUGCCCACCGCCGCCUCCCCCUGGUGGCGGAGUGGGGGAUUGUGGGCUCCGUGGAGCCCACGUGGCUUGGCCCAAAAGCCCCCUGGACUUCUUCCGUUCGGGAAAAAAUCAUUUCGGGAUUUUUCUUCCAUUUGGACUCCGUUCCAAAAUCAGAUAUGAAAAGAGUCAAAAACACGGAAAAACAGGAACUGGCACUUGGCACUGGAUCAAUAAGUUAGUCCCAAAAAAUAUAUAAAAAGAUACAUAAAACAUACAAAGAAGGCAAGAUAACAGCGUGAAACCAUAAAAAAUUAUAGAUAUGUUUGAGACGUAUCAAGCAUCCCCCUAGCUUAACUCCUGCUCGUCCUCGAGUAGGGAAGUGAUAAAGAAUGAUUUUUUGAUGUUGCAUGCUACCUAUCAUAGUUGUCCUUUGUAACUUCUCUCACAUGACAUGAAUGUUCAGAUCCGUUAGAUUCAAAACAAUAGUUUGCUAUUACCGUGGAAACAAUAAUAAUUCAAGCAAACUAGCAAGGUAAUCAUGAACUUUCAAAAUAACAAGGCCAAAAGAAAGUUAUCCCUACAAAAGCAUAUAGUCUGGCUAUGCUCUAUCAUCAUUGCACAACGAAUUUAAAUCAUGCACAACCCCGGUAUUGGCCAAGUAAUUGUUUCACACCUUUACUUUCUCAAACCUUUUCAACUCUCAUGCAAUACAUGAGCGUGAGCCAUGGUUUUAGCACUAUAGAUGGUGUGGAGUGUGGUGGAGGUUGCAAGACAAAAAAGUAGAAGAUAGUCACAUUAACUAGGCAUAUCAAUGAGCUGUGGAGAUGCUCAUCAAUAGAUAUCAAUGUGAAUUAGUAGGGAUUGCCAUACAAAUGAUGCACCAGAGCUACAAGUAUGUGAAAGCUCUUAAAGAAAACUAGUGGGUGUGCAUCCAACUUGCUUGCUCACGAAGACCUAAGGCAAUUUUGAGGAAGCCUAUCAUUGGAAUAUACAAGCCAAGUUAUACAAUGAAAAUUUCCUACUAGCUAUAUGGUGGUGACAAAACGAGAGACUCUCAAUCAUGAAGAUCAUGGUGCUUAAUAUGCACAAGUGUGGAAAGAUAGUAGCAUUGUCCCUUCUCUCUUUUUCUCUCAUUUUUUUGGUGGGCUCUUUGGCCUCUUUUUUUUAUUUUUUUUAUUUUGGUGGGCAUCUUUGGCCUCUUUUUGUAAAUGGGCUUCGCUGGCCUAUUUUAUUUCCUCACAUGGGACAAUGCUCCAUCAAUGGUGAUCAUCACACUCUAAACUCAAAACUUAGAGCAACGAUGACUCUAUAUGGAAUGCAUUUGGUAGUGUACCGUGACAAUGAUCUAGCAUGGCAUAGACAUUAAUGGAAACAUCAUGCUAGUUAUCUUACGAUUAUGCAAUGGCAAUGUAGACGUGGUGGCACAUGUCAUGGUGGUAGUUGCNNNNNNNNNNUCACACCUUUACUUUCUCAAAACUUUUCAACUCUCACGCAAUACAUGAGCGUGAGCCAUGGUUUUAGCACUAUAAGUGGUGUGGAGUGUGGUGGAGAUUGCAAGACAAAAAAGGAGAAGAUGGUCACAUUAACUAGGCAUAUCAAUGAGCUGUGGAGAUGCUCAUCAAUAGAUAUCAAUGUGAAUGAGUAGGAAUUGCCAUACAAAUGAUGCACUAGAGCUAAGAGUAUGUGAAAGCUCUUAAAGAAAACUAGUGGGUGUGCAUCCAACUUGCUUGCUCACGAAGACCUAAGGCAAAUUUGAGGAAGCGUAUCAUUGGAAUAUACAAGCCAUGUUAUAUAAUGAAAAUUUCCCACUAGCUAUAUGGUGGUGAGAAAACGAGAGACUCCCAAUCAUGAAGAUCAUGGUGCUUAAUAAGCACAAGUGUGGAAGGAUAGUAGCAUUGUCCCUUCUCUCUUUUUAUAUCAUUUUUUGUUGGGCACUUUGGCCUCUCUUUUUUUGGUGGGAAUCUUUGGCCUCUUUUUGUAUAUGGGCUUCGCUGGUCUCUUUUAUUUCCUCACAUGGGACAAUGCUCCAUCAAUGAUGAUCAUCACACUUUCAACUCAAAACUUAGAACAAUGAUGACUCUAUAUGGAAUGCCUUCGGUAGUGUAUCAUGGCAUAGACAUUAAUGGAAACAUCAUGCUAGCUAUCUUACGAUCAUGCAAUGGCAAUGUAGACGUGGUGGCACAUGUCAUGGUGGUAGUUGCAUGGCAAUAUAUCUCGGAGUGACUUUGGAAAAGCCAUAGUAGGUAGGUAUGGUGGCUGUUUUGAGGGAGGCUAAUGGUGGGUUUUUGUGCACCGGCAAAAGUUGCACGGUACUAAGAAGAUAGUGAUGGUGGAAGGUGAAAGUGCAUCUAAAUCAUGGACUCAACAUUAGUCAUGAAGAACUCAUAUAUUUGUUGCAAAAGUUUUAGUAGUAAUCGAGACAAAGCAUUCAACGCAUACUCCUAGGGGAAGGGUUGGUAGGUAUAAACCAUCGCGCGAUCCCGACCGCCACACAAAGGAUGACAAUCAAUAGACUAAUCAUGCUCAGACUUCAUGACAUAGGGGUUCACCAUACGUGCAUGCUACGAGAAUCACUAACUUCAACACAAGUAUUUCUAGAUCCACAACACCUUACUAGCAUAACUUCAAUAUUACCACAACCACAACUCAAAACUAAUUGAGAUGAAUCAAACUUCUCUAACUAUUCAAUGCACAUGAAGGUGGAAGUUUUCAUAUCCCUUUGGAUAACUACUCCUUUUGAGACUACUUUCAUAGCAUAGAUCAACUACCAAGCCACGCACCGCCGUGAUCUAAAAGAUAUAAGUGAAGCACAUAGAGCAAAAUCAACUAGCUCAAAAGAUAUAAGUGAAGCACAUAUGAGCUGAAUUGUCUACCAAAGGAUAUAAGUGAAGCUCGACAAAAUCACGGUGAGUGCAUGUCUCUCUAUCUAGGUGCGCAGCAAGGAUGAUUGUGACACAAAAAAAAUAAAAGACUCCUACGAUACAAGACGCUCCAAGCAAAAACACAUAACAUGUGGUGACUAAAAAUAUAGCCCCAAGUAACGUUACCGAUGGAUUGAAGACGAAAGAGGGGAUGCCUUCCCGGGGCAUCCCCAAGCUUAGGCUUUUACGGCAUCCUUGAAUCAUAUUGGGGUGCCUUGGGAAUCCCCAAGCUUGAGAUCUUGCCACUCUUUACCUUUUUGUCCAUAAGAACUUCACCCAAAACUUGAAAACUUCACAACACAAAACUUAAAUAGAAACUCGUGAUAACAUUAGUAUAAGAAAGCAAACCACCACUUCCUUAGAUAGUGUAGCAAACUUAAAUUCUACUUAUGUUGAUGUUGGGUUACUGUAUUUUCAAUAUUCCAUGGCUAAUACCCCCCGAUACUAUCCAUAGUUUCAUCAAAAUAAGCAACCAACACAACAAAAAACAGAAUCUGUUAACAGCAGACCAGUCUGUAGCAAUCUGUAUGUUUCGUAUAGCUCUGGUACUGAAAAAUGCUGAAACAUUACGACAGUCUGAAUAAUUUGCGUAGCAAUCAACAACAAAAAGAAUCAACUUAAAAGCUCUUACAGAAAAAAUGAAAAUUCUUUUCGUGAGCAGAAAGUUUCUGUCUUUCCCAGCAUGACCAAACGAUCAUCCUCAAGACUAAUCAUAACGGUUUUUCUUGGCACAAACACAAAAAGAAACACAAAAAACACAAUCAUAACAGAAUUAUGAAAGUGUGGAAAACACAAAACAGAAAUAAAAAGGAUAGAUUCGUUUGGUUGCCUCUCAACAAGCGCUUUUGUUUAACGCCCUUAGCUAGGCGAAAGUGAUGGAAUCACGUAUAGUCAUCUUUGGUGCUCAAACCAUAGAUAUCCCUCAUCCAAGAUUCAUAAGGCAAUCUUAUUUUAUUUCUAGGAAAGUGCUCCAUGCCCUUCUUUAAGGGAAAUUGAAAUCUAAUAUUCCCUUCCUUCAUAUCGAUGAUAGCACCAAUAGUCCUUAGGAAAGGUCUACCAAGAAUAAUGGGACAUGAAGGAUUGCAAUCUAUGUCAAUUACAAUGAAAUCCACGGGUACAUAGUUCUUAUUUGCAACAAUAAGAACAUCAUCGAUCCUCCCCAUGGGCUUCUUGAUGGUAGAAUCCGCAAGAUGCAAAUUAAGAGAGCACUCUUCAAUCUCAUGAAAACCAAGAAUAUCACAUAAAGACUUUAGAAUCACGAAAACACUAGCACCCAAAUCACACAAAGCAUUGCACUCAUAGUUUUUGAUCUUGAUUUUGAUANNNNNNNNNNCCAUCAUGAAGUUUCCUAGGUAUAGAGACUUCUAGUUCGAGCUUCUCUUCAAGAGAUUUCAUCAUAGCAUCUACGAUAUGCGCGGUAAAGGCUUUGCUUUGGCUAUAAGCAUGUGGAGAGUUUGCAAUGGAUUGCAUCAAAGAAAUGCAUUCAAACAAGGAGCAAUUAUCAUAAUUGAAUUCCUUGAAAUCCAAAGUCAGAGUUUCAUUACUACCCAAAAUUUUGACUUCUUCUACUCCACUCUCCACAUAUUUAUCAUCAAGAUAGGUGGACUCUGAAUCAUUGGGGCAUUUUUCAACCAAAGUGGAUUCAUAUCCAGCCCCUCCAUAAGUAGGUUUGACACGCGAAAACAAAGAUUCAAGAGGAGACACACCAAGCACUUUAAGAUCUUCGUGAUUUGCAUCACUAGAACGCACCCUUUUAAACCAUUCAUGUCUAGCGCGAAUUUGGGCGGUUCUUUCUUUGCUCUCAUUCAUGGAGAUACGCAUAGCUUUCAAAGUUUCAUCCAAGUUUAUCUUGGCAGGAGCGCAUCUAACUUUCAAUGCAUCAAUAUCACAAGACAUCCUAUCAACGCUCUUAGCCAAAUCGUCUAUUUUGAGUAGUUUUUCCCCUAUGGACGCAUUGAAAAUCUUUUGAGAGUUGAUGAACUCUUUGAUAUUACUCUCUAAAUCAGAGGGUAAUUUGUUAUGAUUUCCAUAAGUGUUGCCGUAGGAAUUGCCAUAAUUGUUAGAGGAUUUACUAGGAAAAGGCCUAGGAACAUAGUUUCCUCUAAAAGCAUUGUUGUUGCCAAAAUUGUUCCUACCAACAAAAUUCACGUCCAAACUAGCGUUUCUACUCUCAAUCAAAGAAGAUAGUGGCAUGUCAUUAGGAUCUAUGGUAGCAUUUCUACUAGCAACCAAAUUCAUCAACUCGUCCAUCUUAGCACUAAGCGAGUUAAUCUCUUCUAUAGCGUGCACCUUUUUGCUAGCAUGCGACCGUGCUGUGUGCCACUGAGAGUAGUUGGUCAUGAUAUUGUCUAGGAGUUUUGUAGCGUCUCCUAACGUGAUUUCCAUGAACGUUCCACCUGAGGCGGAGUCCAAGACAUUGCAAAAAGCGAAAUUCAAGCCAACGUAAAAGAUUUGUAUAAUCAUCCACAAACUCAAGCCAUGAGCGGGGCGAUUUCUAAUNNNNNNNNNNNNNNNNNNNNNNNNNNNNNNNNNNNNNNNNNNNNNNNNNNNNNNNNNNNNNNNNNNNNNNNNNNNNNNNNNNNNNNNNNNNNNNNNNNNNCGGAGGGGGAAAUCAUCGCCAUCGUCAUCACCAACACUCCUCUCAUCAGAGGGUACUCGUCACCAUCAACAUCUUCAUCAGCACAAUCUCAUCUCCAAACCCUAGUUCAUCUCUUGUAACCAAUCUCCGUCUCGCGACUCCGGUUGAUACUUUUAAGGUUGGUAGUAGUGUUAAUUACUCUUUGUAGUUGAUGCUAGUUGGAUUACUUGGUGGAAGAUUAUAUGUUCAGAUCUUUGAUGCUACUCAUUACCUCUCUGGUCAUGAUUAUGAUUAUUCUUUGUGAGUAGUUACUUUUGUUCCCGAGGACAUGGGAUAAAUCUUGCUAUAAGUAGUCAUGUGAAUUUGGUAUUCGUUCGAUAAUUUGAUGUGUUGUAUGUUGUUUUUCCUCUAGUGGUGUUAUGUGAACGUCGACUACAUAACACUUCACCAUUAUUUGGGCCUAGAGGAAGGCAUUGGGAAGUAGUAAGUAGAUGAUGGGUUGCUAGAGUGAGAGAAGCUUAAACCCUAGUUUAUGCGUUGCUUCGCAAGGGGCUGAUUUGGAUCCACUAGUUUAAUGCUAUGGUUAGACUUUGUCUUAAUUCUUCUUUCGUAGUCGCGGAUGCUUGCGAGAGGGGUUAAUCAUAANNNNNNNNNNNNNNNNNNNNNNNNNNNNNNNNNNNNNNNNNNNNNNNNNNNNNNNNNNNNNNNNNNNNNNNNNNNNNNNNNNNNNNNNNNNNNNNNNNNNUAGAUGCAGAAAGUAUCGGUCUACUUGUUUUGGACGUGAUGCCUAUAGAUAUAAUCAUUGCCAUAGAUAACGUCACGACUUUGCGCUGUUCUAUCAAUUGCUCGACUGUAAUCCGUUCACCCACCGUCUACUUGCUUUCAUGAGAGAAUCCACUAGUGAACACUACGGCCCCCGGGUAUAUUCACACCUAUCGUUUCCACUUUCACUUUUACUUUGCUCUGUUUACUCUUUGUUGCUUUUAGUUCUCACUUGGCAAACAAUCUAUAAGGGAUUGACAACCCCUUCAUAGCGUUGGGUGCAAGCCUUUUGUGUUUGUGCAGGAUCUUGAGAUACUCUUCCGACGGAUUGAUACCUUGGUUCUCAAACUGAGGGAAAUACUUACUGCCGCUGUGCUACAUCACCCUUUCCGCUUCGAGGGAACACCAACGCAAGGCUCCAAGGCCACGGGGGAAUCCUUUGCAUAUUUGCCAAGGAAGUCCCUAAAGGCGUAGCCGUAGCACAAGGAUUCCUCGUGCCAUUGCUGAGGAGUAUCAAGACAAGAAUAGUCUCACGUCAGCACGCUUGUUUCUGGCGCCGUUGGAAGGUCUUUUGUUGCAGUAGCAAUAGGUACCCAAAGAGGAUACAAAAAAACCUCCAUCUUCAUGUGCAUUGAGUAGAAAGAGAAGUCUUGAUUCCUCUCAAUUAGUUUUGAGACGUGGAUUUGAUAAUAUUAAGAGUUAUGUUAGUAGGGUGUUGUGAAUCUAGAAAUACUUGUGUUGAAGUUAGUGAUUCCCGUAGCUUGCACGUAUGGUGAACCGCUAUGUUAGGAAGUCGGAGCAUAAUUGAUCUAUUGAUUGACAUCCUUUGUGUUGCGGUCGGGGUCGCAUGAUGGUUAACACCUACCAACCCUUCCCCUAGGAGUAUGCGUUUAGCACUUUGUUUCGAUUACUAAUAAAAACUUUCGCAACAAGUAUGUGAGUUCUUCAUGACUAAUGUCAAUCCAUGGUAUAGAUGCACUUUCACCUUCCACCAUUGCUAGCCUCUCUAGUGCCGCGCAACUUUCGCCGGUACACAAACCCACCAUGUACCUUCCUCAAAACAGCCACCAUACCUACCUACUAUGGCAUUUUCAUAGGCAUUCCGAGAUAUAUUGCCAUGCAACUCCCACCGUUCCGUCUCAUGACUUGUGUCGUCACUCUCAUAUUUCCAUUGCAUGAUCGUAAGAUAGCUAGCGAGAUGUUUCAACGUCAUACGCCAAGCUAGAUCGUUGCACAUCCCGGUACACUGUCGGAGGCAUUUCCUAUAGAGUCAUGAUCAUUCUAAGCUUUGAGCUGUGAGUAAAUAAAAGUGUGAUGAUCAUCAUUAUUAGAGCAUUUUCCCAUGUGAGGAAAUAAAAAAAAGAGGCCAAAGAGCCCAAAAAAAAAGAAGAGGCCAAAGAGCCCAAAUAAAAAAGAGAGAAGGGACAAUGCUACUAUCUUUUUCCACACUUGUGCUUCAUAAUAGCACCAUGUUCUUCAUGAUUGAGACUCUCGUUUCGUCACCACCAUAUGCUAGCGAGAAUCUUUAUUAUAUAACUUGGCUUGUAUAUUCCAAUGAUGGGCUUCCUCAAAAUUGCCCUAGGUCUUCGUGAGCAAGCAAGUCGGAUGCACACCCACUAGUUCUCGUUUUGAGCUUUCACAUACUUAUAGCUCCAGUGCAUCCUUUGUAUGGCAAUCCCUACUCAUUCACAUUGAUAUCUAUUAAUGGGCAUCUCCAUAACCCUUUGAUACGCCGAGUCAAUGCGACCAUCUCCUCCUUUUUGUCUCACAACCACCACCACACACUAUUCCACCUAUAGUGCUAUAUCCAUGGCUCACGCUCAUGUAUUGCGUGAUAGUUAUAAAAAGUUUGAGAAAGUAAGAGUGCGAAAACAAUUACUUGGCCAAUACCAGGGUUGUCCAUGAUUUACAUUAGUUGUGUGAGGAUGAUCGAGCGUAGCCAGACUAUAUGAUUUUGUAGGGAUAACAUUCUUUGGCCUUGUUAUUUCGAAAGUUCAUGAAUGCCUUGCUAGUUUGCUUGAAGUAUUAUUGUUUCCAUGUCAAUAGCAAACUAUUGUUUUGAAUCUUACGGAUAUGAACAUUCAUGUCACAUGAAAGAAGUUACAAAGGACAACUAUGCUAGGUAGCAUUCCACAUCAAAAAUUCAGUCUUUAUCACUUUCCUAAUCGAGGACGAGCAGGAGUUAAGGUUGGGGAUGCUUGAUACGUCUCCAAUGUAUCUAUAAUUUUUGAUGGUUUCAUGCUAUUAUCUUGUCAAACUUUGGAUGUUUUGUAUUCCUUUUAUAUCUUUUUUUGGUACUAACUUAUUAACUCAGUGCCAAGUGCCAGUUCCUGUUUUUCCGUGUUUUUGACCCUUUUUAGAGGAGGAUUUUAUACGGAGUCCAAACGAAACGAAACUUCCAAAAAGAUUUUUUUCCGAAACAGAAGAAGAUCGGGGAACCUGAGAAUCAGGGCAGGGGGCCACCGGGGACCCCACAAGCCCCUAGCCGCAGCGAGGGGGGCCCGCGCCUCCCAGGCUUGUGGCCUCCCUGGGCCACCUCUGCCCUAGGUCUUUCGCUUAUAUAUUCCCUAAAAUCCUAGAAAAAAUUAGGAGAUCAUCGAAAGUACUUUUCCGCCGCCGCAAGCUUCUGUCUCCGCAAGAUCCCAUCUGGGGCACGUUCUGGUGCCCUGCCGAAGGGGGGAUUCGGAUACGGAGGGCUUCUUCAUCAACACCAUGACCUCUCUGAUGAUGCGUGAGUAGUUCACCAUAUACCUACGGGUCCAUAGCUAGUAGCUAGAUGGCUUCUUCUCUCUCUUGGAUCUUCAAUACAAAGUUCUCCAUGAUCUUCAUGGAGAUCUAUCCGAUGUAAUCUUCUUUGGUGGUGUGUUUGUCGAGAUCCGACAAAUUGUGAACUUGUGAUCAGAUUAUCUAUGAUAUAUAUUUGAGUCUUUGCUGAUUUCUUAUAUGCAUGAUUUGAUAUCCUUGUAAGUCUCUCUGAGUCUUGGGUUUUGUUGAUCUCUCUAAUGCAUGAUUUCAUAUCCUUGUAAUUCUCUUCAAGUUGUGGGUUUUGUUUGGCCAGCUUGAUCUAUCAUUCUUGCAAUGGGAGAAGUGCUUGAUUUUGGGUUCAUACCGUGCGGUGACCUCACCCAGUGACACAAGGGGUAGCGAGGCAUGCAUCGUGUUGUUGCCAUCAAGGGUAAAAAGAUGGGGUUUUCAUCAUUGGUUUGACUUUAUCCCUCUACAUCAUGUCAUCUUGCAUAAGGCGUUACUCUGUUCGCCAUGAACUCAAUACACUAGAUGCAUGCUGGAUAGCGGUCGAUGUGUGGAGUAAUAGUAGUAGAUGCAGAAAGUAUCGGUCUACUUGUUUUGGACGUGAUCCCUAUAGAUAUAAUCAUUGCCAUAGUUAACGUCAUGACUUUGCGCGGUUCUAUCAAUUGCUCGACAGUAAUUCGUUCACCCACCGUCUACUUGAUUUCAUNNNNNNNNNNNNNNNNNNNNNNNNNNNNNNNNNNNNNNNNNNNNNNNNNNNNNNNNNNNNNNNNNNNNNNNNNNNNNNNNNNNNNNNNNNNNNNNNNNNNGCGAAUCUCGUGGAAUUCUCUCUCCACUGCUCGCCGGAAGCCACGAAAUCGCCAACCCACGAAUCUUCCCUCACAACCAGUCCACACCGCCGCGCCAAGUUCCGAUCUUGCCGCCCGAGCUGCACUCCGGCCGUCCCCAGUCCCCCCGUUCGAGCCUCCCGCCGCGAAUUCCGCCGGCUCGUCGACCCUGGCAGGUGAGAAAUCCUCGAAUUUCUUCUUCAAUUCGUUUUGGCCGCGGGGAGGAUUCACGGAUUUUACCUGCCUCGUUUCCCCCCUCUUGCUUGACCCAAGUAGUAGUUUCCAUGGGUGGUCGGAGAAGAGCCCUCACGAGGCUGACCACGGUGGGCCCGCCUCCUCUGGGGGGUGGCUGGCAUAUGGUUUUCCAUCAGGUUCUUGGGGCAUCGUAGCCCCUGACGACAACCUGCUAUGUUUGGCAAUCAGCAGCUGUUAGUUAUGUUGGGGGUUGCUCAUCUUCUUGCCCUGAUAAAAGUGUGAGCUUCCAUGGAAUACAUAUUUUGUCUCGCUGGCCAGUUGUUUCUAAUGAGAGAAUAAGAGGUCGGGAUCACAAACAACCAUCGCCAGGGCUGUAUUUUGGAUGAGGUGGCAAACUCCUCUACAUAGGAGGAGUUGAGAACACAGAAACUCCUGGAGCUAUCGUUUUUCUGUAUUAGCAUUAGUAGGAUGAAUUGGCGUUUCUUUCGCAAAAAGAACGAUGAAUUGGCGUUGAGAAAUAAAAACUUUUGUUGGAACGUUGGCUAGAGGUUUCUUUGAAAAUAUCAGCCCCUUUGGUCCAUAACGGGGGGAGGUACUCAAUUCUAUUAGAUUAUUCACAAUUGAUGGCCGUCUGGAUGACUAGAAUGGCUCAUUUUGAGCCACCACCUCACCUAUUUGUAUCCGUGCUGUUUUGUCUUGCUUAGUGGCCAUGAAAUUGACCUACCUGAGCUGAUCCAGGGCCGCAAGCAUGAGCACGCGAUGGUGCGCGGUCCCAGCUGUGGGUACAAGUAUUCCAAUAUCAGUUUGUGUUGCCUCUGUGACUCGCAUGAUUUCAUUGACCUGCCUUGUAAAUAGAACGACCAGUGGAAUGAUGGGAUAAAGGCAUUAGCGCCGAUGAAAACAGAAAAUGGCUGUUCACUCUAGCAUUCUUGGUAGAAUAUGAGAAUUUGAGUUUGUUGCUAUGGGCAAAUGGCAUCUUUGUGGUCUGUUAGCGCUCUCAACUCUUAUCUACUAAAUUGAAUUAAACACUCUCCGUUGUCUUAAAUUCAAUGUGUGGUCAGUCUUCCUUGAAAUACCCGGGUUCUGUUUGAAAAAUUGCCAUACCAUAUCUUACUGUUUUUGUCUGUCAUACAUGUUGCAAGCUGGCGGUCUUUCUCAGUAGAUAGGGAGUGAAAUAUGUCAUGGCACCUUCAUAUUAAGUAGUUAUAUUUUGUACUUUCAUCAAUGCAAAUUGUUGGUGAUGCAAGUCAGACUCCCCCUUCUAUUAAAAUAGCAUGGUUCUCUAAGGAAAUAAAAUAGCUUCUUCUAUUUGGCUCCUUAUAUCAUUUUUUCCCUAGAUGAUGAACAGUAUACCCACCAGCACUAGAGUCUAAUCGUAGCAACUCAGUCGCUCACCUGCAGCAAAUGGAAUCAGGUGAAAACAACAUGGGCUCGAAUGAUGGACCAAACAGCAAAGCUAGCUUGGCUGCGAGGCAACGCUUACGGUGGACAGAUGAGUUGCAUGAACAAUUUGUGGAGGCUGUUACUCAACUUGGCGGUCCUGAUAGUACGUAUCCACACUGCAACCGUGCUUCAUUUCUUACUUUAUAUGAUACUGUUUCUUCUUACUGCCUAUAAUCAGUUUAUGGGACUAGAUAGUAUAGUUUAUUUGAAAUCUAAAGGUGAUAUAGUUUUACAUUAAUUCUUUUAUAUUACUCCCUCUGUCCCAAAAUAAGUGACUUGACUUUGUACUAACUUUGUGCUAAAGUUAGUAUAAAGUUGAGUCAGUUAUUUUGGGACGGAGGGAGUACAUGACAUUGUUAUCUCUAGUGAAGUUUUUUUAGCAUAGUUUGGAAGUACCAGACGUUCUUCAAAGUGAUAGUAGCAUGUAAAUAUGAUGGCCAACUCAUAACAUUGUUUCUAAGUAGGAAGCUUAUAUAUGGUUUUCAGCUGUCACGUUAGCUCAGAACAACACCAUAUAAGCUUGUAAUAAGCAUGGUUUGGAGUUUAAGGUGUUACAUUAACUUUUAUUCUCAAGUAAAAGAGAUGACAUGUAUAAGCAACCAUGCAUUUAUAUGAAAAUGUACCAAGCAAGAAGCCCUUUUAAGUGAGAGAAUCGUAGCUUAAAUCACUUGGGUGAGGAUCUCAUCCAUCUAAGCAAUUAAUAACUUACUUUUAUCAGUAUUUUUAUGUUAUUAUAAAAGUGAAAGGUAUGAAUGUUAUGACUUAUGUUGUAUUUAUCUGUCAGUUAUGUUCAUUUGUACCUUUAUGUGCUACAGUAAUCACAUAGGCUUAUUAUGCUUCUGCUAACACUUCUUUUUUGAACUUCGCUUCUGCUGACACUUGAAUUCCUCAAAUGCAAUAGGAGCAACUCCUAAAGGAGUUUUGAGAAUUAUGGGUACGCCAGGAUUAACAAUAUACCAUGUGAAAAGUCACUUGCAGGUACAUCUUGUUUAACAGUGCCACUUGGCCUUUAGCAAUAUUUGUCACUCUUAAUUUCUGAUAUUGAAUUCCCCCAUUACUGUUUCCAGAAAUACAGGCUAGCAAAGUACAUUCCCGACUCUUCAGCUGAUGGUAGGUGAACACACUUCUCAUAUACUUGGUAUUGUGAUAUUUGUUUCAGUUCUUCCCUAAUAUGUAUCUCUUGUGCAGGUAACAAGGCUGAUAACAAAGAUCCAGGGGAUUCAUUAGCAGGACUUGAUGGAUCCUCGUAUGUAUACACAUAUGACCAGUUAUAAUCUCCAUUAAACAGUAACUUGUGUAAACUGUGACUGGCAUGGCAUGAGAUGCAAGUACUGCAAUCUAUGCCGUAUUCUACAAUGCACUAAGAAAAUCAUCUAUCAUAGUCAACUCUCUUAUUUUACUACCCUUGAGGUUUGCAUGCUGCUCGACAAACACAUGCUAACUGUGGUUCCUCAGUAAUUAGAAACAUAAAAUUUUUAGGGUGCAACCAUAAUCUAACUGAAAUCUCUCUUAUUUUACUACUCUUGAGUCUUGAGGUUUGCAUGCUGCUCGACAAACACAUGCUAACUGUGGUUCCUCAGUAAGUAGAAACAUAGUUUUUUUAGGGUGCUAGCAUAAUCUAACUGAAAUCUCUCUUAUUAUACUGAUGAGUAAUUUCUAUAAUAUGAAAUUGUUCAAUUUAUUUUAUUCCGUUCAUCAAUUUUUGGCCUUGAAUAUCCUCAAGUACACAGAUGCUACGCAGCAACGAAAGCAUGUUCAUAUCCAUAUGUUUUUUUAUCUUCCUUCAAUUGAAAGAUGUAAUUUCGUUGCUUUUUGUUGGUUUAUCCAUGCUAUCCUAUCAGUAAGGGGCAAGUCUUCCGCGACGUAUAGCGACCUUUUUCUUGGAGACUUCAAUUUCACUUUUGGAAGUAGUGUCUUUCAGUUGAUGCUGCUCCCCUGUUUUCCUCAGUUUUUCCUAGGGGUGUUUGAUCGUCGAGCCUUUUUCUUUACAGUGGAAUGCAGAUAUCUGAAGCCCUGAAGCUGCAGAUGGAGGUCCAAAAGCGGUUGCAUGAACAGCUCGAAGUAAGUCUUUUGUUUUGCGGUCCAAAAGCAGUCCAAAAGCGAAUGCUUGUAAAAUACUUUAUCUGCUGUGGUGAAUUAAGAAACGUUGUGAUUUUUCCAUUCGAAAAAACAGAGAAAAUUCUUAGUCGGCUUGAGGCAAAACCCAGGCCGUUCUUAAUAUCGCUGACUUCCAUGCUUCUUGUAGUAAUGGCUGCGAAGUCUGUGUUUGAGUCAUUGUUUGCGUUUCAGUUUGUAAUCUCAUUCAUAUUUCCAAACUUGCAAAUCAAGUAAAUAGUUAGGUUUAAUUGACCAGAUGCAUUAGUUGCAUGCUUGCAUAGCGGUAAAUUCAUCAACAACCGACAGUUAUAUUAAGUAGAGAUCAAUGAUAAGAUGUGCUGAUAACACUUUCUUCAGGUACAAAGGCAGCUGCAGCUGCGAAUCGAGGCACAGGGAAAGUACCUUAAGAAAAUCAUAGAAGAGCAACAGCGUUUCGGUGGUAUAAAGUCUGAAACACCUGGUGCAGGAGCUACUGUCACAGCGUCGAGCGAUCAGUUCCCUGACUCUGAGAGGACAGAUCCCUCGACUCCUGCACCCACAUCUGAAUCUGCAUCUCAGGGUGCAGCUUUCAAAAGAGACAGUGGAAGCCAGACCGAAGCAAUCAAGAGUCCAUGUCACGAUGAACCGCUGCUAACAGCAGAUUCCAACUGUCAUCCCGGUUCUCCUACUCUCAGUCCGAAGCACGAGAGGGCAGCAAAGAGGCAGCGAAGCAGCGACGCCGAGUUCCCGGAGGCCGAGUUGUCCCUUCCGCAGCAUAUCUUUGAGUCGAGCUCGGGGCCGGAGUUCCAGCAAUGUUCGGUGCCCUACUUCUCGGGUCAUUAGCCUCCCGGCAACGACAUUUUGGCAGCAUCUUAGAAUGGUGUCAUCUAAAGGGGAUAUGCUGUUGUAUGUUGACAUAAAUUGUUAGGUGUUUUCAGGUGGUUGUUUACAUGAUGCAUACUUACACAUGACAUCUAUAUCUCGCAUUCUUAGCGCCUUGACUUGUAACCUUAUUGGCAGAUGAGUUGACAGUUUGGGUAGGGGGGUUGGUGGCCACUGUUAGCCUGUUUUUACAUGCUAUGUUUUCUACUCUUGUUCUUGAGUCUUGACACCAAGUUUAUCUUGCUAUGCUAUUUGUUAUGAGGGUGAUUGAUGAUCAGAAACAACACAACUACCAGUGUUUUCAUGCCAAUUCCCCUUUUUUAAAGUGUGUACUUCGUACAAAAUAUAAUCAUAAAAGUAUACCACCAAAAGUCUAGACAACAUCACAAGUCAACAUCUACAAACUUCUAUGAAAGAGCAUCUAUAAACUUGAAACUACUCGUAUGCUCUCUCCAUUUGGACAUAUGUAUCUCAAGGUUUACUUUGGCCAUCAAUAGAAGUAUGGAAACGAUAAAAUCAGAACGUUCGGAUUUUAAGCAUGUCAAUCUAAACGUUUUCCAUACCAACUUUAGUUCUUGCAAGGUUGGCAAAAAUGACAAAUUUCUGACAAAAGAACAAACUGGGAAAAAUUCGUCAUAUUUAAACAACUAAAGUGGACACCUCGCGACAACUAAAAUGAUCAUGAAAAAACGUUUGAGAUAACAUACUUAAAAUCCGAACGUUUGAGAUUUAUCGGGCCCCGAAAGUAAAUACUACAUGAGAUAUUUGCACAAAAGCUACCCCCUUAGUCUGUAAUUAACUGUUGUUGAAAUGAGUGCAUCUGUACGCUGAAAUGCGUAUUGUCAUAAAAAUGAGUGUAUCUACACACUGAAAUGCGUAUUUUCAUAAAAAUGAGUGUAUCUACACACUAGAUACACUCAUUUCAGUGACGGUUAAUUCUAGAUGGAGAUUGUAUGUCAUUAGAAACUAUUUUGUACAUAUGAAUUCAACGAUAUUUUUUGUGGCAUCUGUUAAUUUGAUGAUACAAUUCAAGCUGCUCUUCUGCCUGGCAUUAUUGUGCCUCUUGAUUCAUCUUUUUUUCCGGAGUGAUGGCGAAUAUUAGUGUUUUGACCUUGUUAGAGCAUUUACAUCCAGACUUGUCAAAUAUGACCCCUUAAGGCUCACGGACGCACUCGGUCAGUGAUUGGACGUGUCCGUUUUAAGCCUUUUUUUUUGUUCACACAGCCGUACUUCUUAUUUUUUUUAUAUGUCUAGUCACUUACACAUGAUUGGUGAAGAAAAAAAGAAAGAAAUAAAAGAUUGAAUAAAGAAAAAAAGGUGGUAUGGGAUGGGGUUGCGUCGUACUUGACGGACUGACCAGACCUGUCCGGACGCGUCCGCAAGCCCUCGUAUCGUCUCCAAAUUUGAGAGGGAUUUGAGGGAUGCCGGUCAGUCCGGGUGUUUAGGAGGAAAAGUGAGGGGUUCGUUUGAAUCAUUUUUUUUAAUCGGACACUGAUUAGGAAGGCAUUUCGAACGUUCGAGGAGGAUACAUAGGGUCCUGCUAUAGAUACUCUUGGAAGACUUUAGUACAAUCUGAAUCCUUUCAGCACGAUGUGAUUGUUUUGGACGCCAAGCAUUGUGGCAUUUCUUCCCAACAUAGUCAUCCAAACUUUUACCAUAAUUUCUUCCUUGAAUACAUAAGUGGCCGCGGGGCAGGGUUUUCAGGAACGCCACAAGCCCUAGCUUUUCUUCUCGGCGCAGAAACGACAGGGCUUGCGGAGUUACCAGCAACGCCCCUAAUUUGGUGUUUCUGCUCUGUAGGAUGUCAACACCUACUCGGCCAGGCUCGUACUAUUUUUUUUCUUACGAAAAGCCACACUACGGAGCAGCGUCGCAUCUGGGGCUUCCGGUGCGGCGGCCCAGCUAAUGGAACAUUAGUACGCAUGCAAAAUUAGUACUCCCUAGAUGCAUACUCAUUACUUUAAACAGCUUGGACAUGCAUCGGCAAAUUCCUCUUUCUUUAUUAUGCAUGCAUGCAAUGACGUCAUCAAGAUUUCCUUCGAUGUUUGAAAUUCAAAAAGUUUUAUCUACAAAACCGUUAAUUCAAUUAAUGAUCCGCUUUCACCACUGACUUUUUCGCGCGAGAUCUUCAAAACUAGCUCCCAUGUCGAUAUGUUUCGAUAACUUUCGUUUUCUUCCUUACUUGCCAGAUUACUAUCACUUACUUGUCAUAUUAUUUGUUACAUAGUUCUCACAUUAAAUCAACUUGGUUAUCAGGUUUAUGAAUGUUGAUAUACCCCAUUAAAAAACUUGAUUCAUUAUACUUGUGCUGCUUUAUGCAUUUAUUUGUUUGUUAUUAGUAUUUUAAUACCCACUUUUUAGCUUCACAUAACAUUGCAAUGCUUAAAAAGUAUAAAAAUAUUGUCCUGAUAACUAUGUAUAACUAUUGUGACAACUAUACAUCCGUAAGAUGACAUAAAUGUGGCAACUAGAAACGACGAAAAAAAUCAACGAAACAUGUCAAUAUGGGAUCUUAUUUUGAAGGUCUCAUCGAGACGAACCUAACGGUGAAAGCGAAUCUGAAAUAAAAUUAUUAAUUUAUGAGAUAAAUCAUUUUUAAAAUUUGAAAAAGCAUUUAAUGCAAUGAUGUAAGCAUGAGGUGAAAGAUUUUUACAUGCGCAUGGGGCUGCGGAAGCCGCUGCAUGAAAGAGUUGUGAUGCGGCGCUUCUCUUUAUAAUUUUUCAAGAAAGAAUCCCUUGUUUCAUGGUUGGCUCGACUAGGGCGAAAUUAUGUCUACAUAAUUAUAGUUGAAAAAAAUUAGUUUUCUUCGGCUAUAAUUAUUUAAGUAGAGGGGGGUAUAAGGGAGCGAAAUAUUCGGGGGUGUUUUGGCGCGAACUAAUCGAAGCACAUGGGAACGAUAUGGGCGGGAAAGCAGCCCGCCAACAUCCAUCAGAAACCCUCGGCUAGCGAUCUCCCUCCUCCCCUCUGUCUCCGCAUCCGAUCCGAGGCGAGGCGGCGAUGCAGAUCCAGGUCCGGUGCGGGUGCGGCGAGGCGGCGUGCCCGGAGUGGGCGGUGGUGGAGGUGCAGGGCGUGCUGCAGCCGCAGCCCUGCUUCUCCGGCCGCAUCCAGGGCCUCCACAUCGGCCGCCUCUGCUCCACCUCCUCCCCCCCGUCUUCCAAGGCAAGGACCGCCUGUCUCUCCCUGCAUAUCGAUCUGGUUUCUUGAUUUGGGUUUGGGGGAUCUUCACGGCGGUCUUGCCAUUGCCAGGGCGGGUACACCUUCACCAUCGGGUACCAUGAGCUCGCCGGCUCCAAGGUGACUCUCAAGAAGCCCCUGCUGGUGCUGAGGAAGAAGAAGAACGGCAAGGGAGGUACCGGCGAGCUCGGCCAAGGUGGACCGGCGGAGGUGGAGCUGGAGGUGAUCGGCAUCAUCCGGCACAAGAUCCUCUUCAAGGACCGCCCCAAGGCUCUCAUCUCAAGUAAUCACCGAUCCAAUUUCCAUUUUCACCACAAUUGAUUCGGUGGAAACUUUGCUCAUGGCGUGUUUUUCCGGUUUCCUCCUGCAGAGCCGGUGCCGAAGGAGAAGAAGGCCCUGCCUGCAGCGGCGACCCCAUCAACCGUGCCUCCCGCUUCCUGAAGAAGAAAUGAAAAGUUUGUUAAGGAUCUGAAGCUCCUUAGGAUCUCUGAUUGUGCCUGUUUGUUUCCCCUGCCACAUCUUCUUCUUCCACCAUUGUUGUGCUUGUGCCAUAUAGCAGCAUGAAUUUGCCGUCGUUGAAGCACUCCAGUGAGAAAUUAGCACAAACGCCUAGCAAACUUGUGGGGCUGUUUGGGUCCACUGCUAUGCGUAUGGGAACCAAAUACUAGUAGCUUCAUAUUGCUUAUAUUCUUGUGGCGCCAGGUUCAUUUUGCUUAUCUCCCGACUUGUGCAUCUAGAGGAUACUACUCAAAUACUCCUGCAGUAUAAUUUAUCAUGUUUGAAGUACAAGAUAUGCCUAGCAUCGGAGGUAUUAAACCAUGAAUAGAAAAGGAGAUUAACGGGGAACACACCGUCUAGGAGUAGCGGCGGAGGUUAAGAUCAGAUCAGACCGUGUAACCCUGGCAGGCGAAGUUCAUCUUCAUGUUUCAGACGCCAAUGUUUUCAGUCCAGCCAGUAUAGAUCAUACUCUACACAUGAAACUGAAAAUAUUUGAUACUCACACACACAGCCACACAGCCACAGCCACAGCAGUGCAUGCCGACUAGGAAGGCCAAAUGUGCAGGAACAUAUUGCUAGUUGCUAGGUCCAACUAAUUAAUAAAGACCAGAAUAUCUGCCUUGAAAGCAGUGGUUUUAUAACAAAGGAUGCAAGACACAUACUUCACCAUGAAAAGUCGUUAAAGGUACCCAUGUUGUCUUGCACCAAAGGACACCAUGAAUUCAUUUGGAGCUAGCCGCACCGUUGGGGUACAGUCUAUUCCUAGUCCUUGCUUCAAGGAAGGUUGUGAAAAAGAGGCCAGAGACCACCGAUGCAGUGGCGGUUUUGGAGGAGAGGGGCUAAAUUUCGUGUUUUGACUUUUUUGCGAAGUAAAUUGACAUUUGACCCUAGUUUGGAAAAAAAUAUAUCAGGAUUUAACCCUUUUACCUACUGCCGUAGGCCGUGGCGGUAGCCUAGCACACCCUACUGCCAGCGCCCGUGGCGGUAGGUUGACAGAGGGCGAUGGACGACAGUUAGCCAUUGACGUGGCAAAGGACCUACCGCCAACCAGCCUGGCGAUAGGGGUAUCUACACCUAUCGCCGGAGACCCUGGCGGUAGGGUCCUGUGAUGGAUAAGAUUGCAUAUUUUGGUGGGUCUUUCCUCCCCUCCCCCCCCCACACACACACACAUUCAGCCAGUCACCUCUCCCUGAGCUCAACCAGCCAGUCACCUCUCCCCGAGCUCAAGUCUCCCCCUCUCUCUUCCUCACACAAGGGCCUCUUAAAUUUCUCUUAUUUGCUUGAGAUUUGUCCGUUGGAUCCGGAACACUUUCAUCAUUCAAGGUACCUCUCUCACGUCCCCUCAUUUUGACUGGUUGAAAUCAUGUAUUUUGAGUGUAUUUGCUCAUUUUAUUGCAAAACCUAGUUCAUCAUUUUGUUGUGGUGAAAUCAAUGAAUAUGAUGCAUUUAGGGUUCUUUUGUGAUUUCCUAUGUAUUAUGUGACUAGCAUUGUUGGGGGUAUCAUAGAUCUUGUGCUAGGGUUAGUGGUCAUGUUAAGUGUUAGUGUUAGGAUUAAGAAAUUAAUUAAGGCUAUGAUUACCUUAAUAGUCACUUCUUGAAAUGUAGGAUGAGACCGUUCGUUUACGUUGAGAUUUCUGCUAAGGCGGCGGCGAAUUGUGAACGCGAACUCAUUGAAGAAAAGAUGAACCCGUGGGUUGAAGUCGUUGAUGUGUUGAAUGCGACGUGUAGAGCUGUGGGGGGUUUCCCUUACAGUUUUCCUUCAAAAAAAAGGGUGUUUUGGAAAAUUUAAUAAAAAAGUGAAGAAGUUGGUGAAAGUGCAGUCAUGCCCUUAAUCGUGUUUUGGUGUUGCUGACAACACACAUAUAGAUAAUUAAUCACUAACCCUUUUUAAGCUAUUGUGAAUGAUCAUGUGUUGAUAAGGACAAGCUCAUGUGCUAACAAGGACAAGAUCAAGAUAAGCAUUCCUGAGCACUACAUGCUUGAUCCUUGUGGAUGUUCACAUGGUGGACAAAUGAAGAUAAAUAUAUAAGCUAGGCUUUCCACAUUGUGUAUGGGAGAGCUACUUGAAGACUUCAUCAUGUCUUGCUUUCAACAUUGAGCCAAGAAGGAACAACAACAUCAAGCUCAAGUGAAAGGGCUAACUCAAGGUAUCAGUUACUUUGAUGUUAGCGGUGCGGAGUGAUGAUCAGCGAAUAAAAGUACACACUCAAGUAUGGAUCAUCGGUAUCCCUUUUACAAUUCUUGAGUCUUUAGGGAUCCCGAACUAUUAAGAGGGGAUCACAGGUUUUUGUGAUGAACUUGCUCAAACUAGAUAUCCACUAUUCUGCUCAAUACCACAUAUUCUCUACUCUGCUCCUAUCUCAAAACAGGUCUAAUGUCUCGGACUUCCGGCUCCCUCCGGACGUCCGAGGGCCGGUCAAGGGUCGGACGACCGACAGGCUUCGGAAAUCCGGAGCCCUGCACCAGAAGAACUUGAGCCCUAUAACUCGGAUUUCCGGCUCCCUCCGGACAUCCGAGGGUCGGUCGACCGACCAGCUUCGGAAAUCCGGAGCCCUGCACCAGAAGAACGUGAGCUCUAUAACUCGGAUUUCCGGCUCCCUCCGGACAUCCGAGGGUCGGUCGACCGACCAGCUUCGGAAAUCCGGAGCCCUGCACCAGAAGAACGUGAGCUCUAUAACUCGGAUUUCCGGCUCCCUCCGGACGUCCGAGGGCCGGACGUCCGACCCCUUCGGAAAUCCGGAACCUUGCACCAGAAGAAGUUGAGUCGAAUAACUCGAAUUUCCGGCCUUCUCCGAACGUCCGGUCCCUGUUCAACUCACAGUGUUUCCAGACAUAUCUACAGCUCUCGGACGACCGACCCCUGUCGGACGUUCGACCCCUUACGGACGCCCGGACUUCCGUAAACUGCCGGACGUCCGAACCCUGUGUGACUUAAAGUGUCCCCAACGGCUGUUUUUACACUCCCCACUAUAUAUACCCCCUCCCACUUCGUGAGAGGGUGUCCAACACAGCCAUAUCCUCAUAAGAACACAUUUCUACCUCACACACAUUUGCUCACACCAAAUCUUAGAUCCCAAGAGCAUUUGUGAGCCCCUUUGAGAGUUGUUCCAAUCAAAAGAUAGAUCGUCUCCCUCUCCUUCUCUCAACCCAAGCUAUUUGAGAUUUGAGCAAGUUUUGAGCAUUCCCCGUGAUCUUGUUACUCUUGGAGGUUGGAGACUCCUAGGCGGUAGGAGUUCUUCGGAGAGGAAUCAAUCCGUGUGAUUACCCCCGGAAAAGUUUGUGAGGGUUUGGAAGCCACCUCAAAGGCUUACCACUAGUGGUUGAGAAACGCCUUCGUGGUGUUAUCUCAAAGGGAGAAUAGGGUGAGCCUUCGUGGCGUUGGUGUGCCUUCGUGGUAACAUCCACCUCUCUAACGGUGACUAGCUUCCCUCCAAGGAAGUGAACAUCGAGAUACAUCUUCGUCUCAGUGACCUUGGUUAUCCUUGACCCUAACUCCUUACUUGUGGUUUACUUGUGUUACUUGAGCAUACGUACAUUGCAUAUUGGUUGUGCUCACUAUAUUGUGUUGCCUAUUUCUUGUACAAGAUUAAUCACUCAAGCAUACCCUCUAUAUCCACACGUUCACACUUGCAGCUUUUGAUAUAUCGUGUGAUAUAGCGUGAUCUAGUAUCUUGUGUCGCUCACCUACUUGUCGUGUGAUAUAGCUCAAGUAAGUUUGUGUAACUUACUUGUGAUCGUUAGUAACUGUAUUGUGUCCAUCUUGGUAGAUCGUGUUGUUGAUACACGUUGCAGUGCCUAGUGCAUUUAGGAUUUGUGCUUGACAAGUACCCUCUUAGUUUAUUUCCGCAUUAGGUUAAGCCAAAUCCGAAGAAGUUUUUAAAUAGCCUAUUCACCCCCCUCUAGGCGUCAUCGAGGUCUUUUCAAUUGGUAUCAGAGCAAGGUCUCUCUUUAAUUAGGUUUCACGACCUAGAGAGUAUCGAUGUCGACUAUUGGAUUAGUGCACAAUGACACCUUUGACUUUGAUGGCACAAAUUAUACCCUAUGGAGAAUUCGUAUGCUUCAUCACUUUCGGGCCAUGGGCCCAAAUACUUUACGAAUUGUUCUUGUAGGGAUUGCCGACAAAAGGAAUGAUGCAUCUUCAUCUACUAAUGAAAUGUAUCUUAAGUGUGAGGCUUUUCUUGCCAUUCAUCGAACCAUAAGUCCUAAAGUGUUUAAGUCUAUCUCGACUUGCAAGUCAGCUCAUGAAGUUUGGACUAAACUUGAAGAUAUAUAUGGUGGGUCCAAUCUUGAUGAAGACGAUAUUAUGAUGAAGGAGUUGGUGCAUGAGCUCUUCACUCUUUUCGAUCAUAAAGAGUCCACCACUACUUCCAUAUCCGAUUGCUUGCACACCUCAGCAUCUUCAAUCUCACAAGGGGAAACCAAGAAAUAUGAAGUACUUUUGACUAAUGAAGAAUCUGAUUCACCAAAAGAAUCGGUAUUCACACCACCGGAUGAAAUUGAAGCCAUAAUCAAGGAGUUACUCUAGAAUGGUACUCUACAACCUAGUUCAUGCCUCACCGGCUCUUCUUUACAAGAAGAAAGAAGGUUCGUGGCGCCUAUGGAUUAUAGGCAACUCAAUGCGCAAACCGUAAAAAAGAAAUACCCGAUACCGGUCAUUGAUGAUCUUCUGGAUGAGCUACACGGUUAUACUGUGUACUCAACAAUCGUUUUAUCUAUUCCCACAUCGAUUCACCAAUCCUGGAACUCGUUAUGGAUAGAAGGUCCGUAGAAGUGAAAGUAGGACGACGGGAGAAAAGAGUAAGGAGUACCGGAAAAAGAAGAUUUUGGACUUUCUGCCCACGAAGAAAUAGUAGCAUUUGAAACUGGAAAGAUUUACUUUGGAUAGUAAAUCCCCAAGGAAGGGCUAUAAUCCAAACAAAGGAGGAGCUAGCGGACAGUUCGAAUUUCAACGAUUAGGGAGGGGAAUGAAACAAUCAUCAACUCCUCCAGUUCACAUGUGCCUCACCGCAAGAGGUAAUAAUGAGAUAUCAUCUUCCCUGUGCAAUAACGAUGAUAUUUGCGAUGAGGAUGAUGAUGAUGACUUGACUGAAAACAUCUAUGUGAUCAGUAAAAUUCUUCAUAAAGCCAAAAAUAACGCUCUUCAAAGAUUCCAAGAUAUUCUUGCUUACUUUGAAAAUUGUAAUGAUUCACUUAAUCAUGAACAAGCUAAAAGUGAACAACUUGAACAUGAACUUGAGAAGAGUCACCAAGCAUGUAGAGACUUAAGAUCUUCAAAAGGAGAGAUUGAAGUUGUUCAUGAUAAACUUAAAAAGGAUUUUGAGGUCCUUCUCCUUGAAUGCAAGAAUGUCAAGGGAGAGCUCAUCCAAACCUCUAAGGUCUAUGAGGAGCUUCAAUCUACCCAUGAGAAGUCUCUAAUCGCCACUUACUCUCCUCAUAUUGUUGAUGAUACUUGUAUAUCUAACCCUAUCUCUUUUGAAGUAUCAACAUUGAAGGAGAAUGUUGAGCUACGUGCUCAACUUGAUUUACUAACUAGCAAUUAUGGGAAGUUGGAAGAAAACCAUGUAAUGCUCACAAGCUCUCAUGCCGAUCUUCUAACAUCCCAUAAUGUGCAAAAGUUAGCUCAUGAGGCUAUCAUCACCAAGGUAACAUCAAGUGAGCCUCAGGUGGACAAUGGCACCACUUCUAAUCAAAGUACUAUAUCUCCAUGUGCCAGUCCUCGUAAUUCGUCCACUCAUAAUGUUGCUACCUCGUGUGAUGAAUUACUUUCCUUGCCUUGUUGCUCUAACAAUGACACUUACACUUCCUCUAGUAUUUGCAUUAAAACUAACCGUGUAGAGGAAAUCGAAGAGCUCAAGGCCCAAGUCACUUCUUUGAAGAAAGACUUGGAACAGUGUCAUGAAGGGAUGUCCACACUCAACAACGUCCCGUGUGAGCAAACAUCUCCGAAUGACAAAAAUGAUGUUGGAGUAAACUCAAACAAGAACAAGAGUGGCCUAGGACGAGUUAAGAAUUCAGCCAAAAUCAUUUGCUUCAAGUGCAAAGUUAAAGGGCACCAUGUUAGAUCUUGCCCUCUGAAGACGAAGUCUCAAAGUCACAAGCAACAAGGGAAGCGGCCACAAACUCAAUCACACACUCAGCUACAAGUUGAAGGAAGGCCUCUUCCCAAUAAGACCCAAGCCAACACUCCCCGAGGUGAGAAAUCAACUGGGAAGAAAGCAAAGGGUAGAUGUUGCUACUUAUGUCGUGAGAAGGGUCACGUCGCUUCGUCUUGCACGAGAGGUAACUUAUCCAACCCAAUCACUAUUGAUGAUAGCUAUUCCCUUGGGAAGGAUAAUGUUGGCAAUGUGUUUGCCAAGUUUGUUGGAACUCAAAAUGGUGUCAAGAAAAGAACCAUUUGGGUUGCCAAGCCUAUUGUGACUAACCUCUUAGGACCCAACGUAGUUGGGGACCAACAAGCUCAAACUUGAUCAAUAGGUGACUUUGGAGGACAUUGGAGACUUGGAUACACAAUGAAGAUUUGAGGACUCUUCAUCAUUCGUAUCAUCUCAAGCCAAGUCACUUGGAUUAUCGAGCCCAUAUCCCAUAUCCAAUGUGCCUCUUUGCGGUGACUUGUACUUAAAUUGUUUACAUUGAAAGUUGCCUGCCCCUCUCCCUCUCAUGUUUAGGUUUGGUUCCUAGCAUGUACUUUGACAUGUUGCGCCUACUAGUAUGAUUGUUAUAUGUUAUCUAUCAUGUGUAGGUCAUUAUGUAUGUUAUAUAGUUGUGUGUAGCCCUGAUCAUUACUCGCAUCCUAGUUGCACCGUUGUGUGGGUCUUUUGCGACGUUAAUAGCUCAUCACAUUAAGGGGGAGUGUUCUGCUCUACGCACACCACUAACCCAAAAUGUGUACAUAUGUGUUGGACUCCAUGUAGUAUUCGGUGCAAGAUUAUCCAAUCAAUUAGUUUGAUGUCAAGGCCAUCCGAAGUUUAAAUUGGCAUCCACUUAUCACCUUAGUUGGAUGAUUGAUUGCCUUGUAUGAUAAAUACAUGGAUUGUCACAUUAUGUGAGGAUGAUAUGCUUUGUGCAUGUCACAUCCCCUGGUAAGACAAAACAUCCGAUGUAUGCCACUCAGAAUCCACCAUAUGUGGUUAUCCUAUAACCGUGUGGUGUGUCAUGCUCCACAUAUCUUAAUUCGCAUAAUAAGCCCUGUUGGUAUCUAAAUUCCUUAGAUGUGCGUGAGUAUAAUGUCCUACUACACCAAUGCUCAUGGCUUAGCCGCUAGAUCGUAUCUAAAAGAAGGGCACUGUUGAUGCAUGCCUUUCGAAUUAAUCCUCCACACUAUGAUCUAACUAAUUGGGAUGUUAACGUAUGUCAUCUAAACAUUAUGCUUAUGGUUGAACUCCCAUAUCACACUUGUGUGAGUAUAAAACGAUUCUUGUGCUCGUUUGGCACCUACCACCACUGAUAACUCUAAAUGUCAUUGUGUUCUCUCACACAUGGUAUCUCUGGCUUGGUAGUGUUUUCAUGGUCAUUUUAUUUCAGUUCUAUCUUCAGUUGACCUACAUAACGUGCUGAGAAAUUCAUGUGUCUCCCGGUAGAGCUCGCACUACUUAUUUCAUAAUGUUGUGGGAGUUAUAAUCAUAUUACCUACACUUAUAAAUCUACUGGGGUGAGACAUGCAUGUAAGGUUGUGCAAAAUGCAUGCCUUACAUGGCUUGAUGCCUUGACCAGUUCAUGUGUUGAACUUGGGGUGCUACCAUGUGUUGAUUUGUCACCCUGAUCCAUUUUGGAUGACAUGAAUGUUCUGUAAUAGAAAAUUAUGUGUUCAUUUGUCCAAAUUGUAUAUCCUUGGAUUUUGAUAGGAUUGUGUAGGCAUAUUGUCACGCCCAAGAUGGGACCCUAUCCUUAAUUUGGCACGAGGGCCUCAUCAGGGAUAGAAGCGCAUCUCGUCGUGUCGCAAGAAUGGAUAUCGUUACAAGUACAAGUACUGAAAAGAAGAGAUAUAUAAUAGAAUUGGCUUACACUCGCCACAAGCUACAUCAGAGUCACAUUAGUACAUUACAUAAUCAUCAAGAGUAAGAAUAGGGUACGACUACGGACGAAAACAAACGACAAAAGAAGAAUGACGUCCAUCCUUGCUAUCCCAGGCUGCCGGCCUGGAACCCAUCCUAGAUCGCUGAAGAAGAAGAAGAAGAAGAAGCAACUCCAAAUGAAAAAUCAACGCGCUCGCGUCAAGUAACCUUUACCCAUACCUGCAACUGGUGUUGUAGUAAUCUGUGAGCCACAUGGGACUCAGCAAUCUCAUUUCUAAAGGUAUCAAGACUAGCAAAGCUUAAUGGGUGAGGCAUGGUUAAGUGGUGAGGUUGCAGCAACGACUAAGCAUAUAUAUAUGGUGGCUAACUUACGAGUACAAGAAAUAAGAGGGGGAAGAUCUACGCAUAACGGACGUGAACUACUGAUGGUCAAAUGAAUGAUCCUGAACACCUACCUACGUCAGACAUAACCCCACCGUGUCCUCGAUCGGAGAAGGAACUCACGAAAGAGACAAUCACGGUUACGCACACAGUUGGCAAGUUUUAAUUAAGUUAACUUCAAGUUAUCCAGAACCAGUGUUAAACAAAGUUUCCACGUUGCCACAUAACCGCGGGCACGACUUUCCGAAAAGAUUUAACCCUGCAGGGGUGCUCCAACUAGUCCAUCACAAAUUACCACAAGUCGCAUAGAAAUCCUCGAUCACGACACUCGCGAUCUCGUCGGACUCCUUAGUGGAAAACCUCAACUCUGAGAUUACCCAAAGCAUCACCGGAAUCCCGAUGCAUAAGAUAUUUCGUCAAAGGUAAAACUAAUCCAGCAAGGCCGCCCGACGUGUCGACGAUCCCGAUAGGAGUCGCGUACCUCGUUCUCAGGACACGACGGAUGGGUCACACUAGGAGAUACCAAACCUCGGGUUGCCCCACGGUGGCCCCGUAGUCUGCCAAUUUGGACCAACACUCAUGAGGAGCACUGGCCCGGGGGUUGAUUAAAUUAUCCUCGGGUUAAUUACUCCCUAUGCAGUUCAUUAGUUAUUAGGCAAAUGUAGUACCAAAGUUGGGCCUUGCCAGACCAGCUUUAAUCUAAAACAAAUUAUCAAGGGGGUCCCCAUAACAACCCCGAUCGUGUUAGGAGCGCUCAAUUAUGGAACAUAACACCGGUAGCCAAAAACUAAGGGGGCAAAGGUGGAACAAAACACCAAGCUAGAAAGGCCGAGCCUUCCACCUUUUACCAAGUAUAUAGGUGCAUUAAAUUAAAUAGCAUUUAAUAUGGUAAUAUAACAAGUAACCCAUGUUGUCACAUGGAAGCAACUGCACCUGCAACUAGCAACGCUAACAAAAGGGUUAAGCAAGUAGUAACAUAGCCAAUCAGUGGUUUGCUAGGUCGAACAGGUUGAGGGUAAUCAUGGCAUUGUUGAGAGGCUGAUAUUAAACAUGUGGUAGGCAACGAGACAUAAUCGAUAGAAGCGAUGAAACUAGCACGACAAUGAUAGUAAUGGUAUCUGGGGAAAUGGUCAUCUUGCCUGAGAUCCCACUUGGAAGAAGAAUGACUCCGUGAAGCAGACGGACCGAUGUAGUCGAACGGUUCCUCACUUUCCGAAGCGGUCGGAACUCUAUCGGAACGAAGCAAACCGGAAACAAACAUCAACACAAAUAUUCACCACGGCAAAAGCAAGACAUGAUGCACACCCUAAUAUGAUGCAUGAACAGAUCAAUGAUGCAAGUGAUGGCAUGGCAAUUCACCUCACGCAAACACUGCACAUUAAAUGAAGCUCGAUAUGCAACGAGUUGCAUACCGACGAAACUCCAUGAUUAAUUAUUUAGUUCACUCCCGAUUAUUUACACGGCAAUACUAAAUUGUAGUUAACAUGGCAAGGGGUGAAGCACAAAUUAAACUACCUAUCUAGGCAUUUUAAAUGAGACCGGAAACGAAAUAUAGCAUCUCCGAAAUGACCCCAGGUGUUAAAUACUAAUUCUAUCCAGAUUUGUCCUAAUCACAAUUUAGGUUUGUUGAACAGAGAAAUAAAGUGGUUCACGUGAAACUACACGUCGGUCUAUUCUAUUUACAUAUAUGGAACAUAUCCAACGGAGCUACGGAUAAUUAGUUACGACCUAAACCGUUUUUAUCGCGUUGACACGUAAACCGAUGGAAACAACACGUUUAAGUAUUUUUAUCAUGCAUGAAGGUUAGAAAUUAUUAAUCUACACAAAAUUCUACACGUUCUAAAAUAUAAAGUUUUUUUUAAUCCGAUGCAUGGUUGAAUUAUAUGGAUUUUCAAAAGGCUAAAAGAAUCUGCCCAAAGCAAAACAUAGCAAAAAAAAUAAAGGAGGGCGCUAGGGAUUUGAUCCCACAACCUGAUGGAUUCAAAAGCCUAAAGAUAACCAGCUCGGCUGGCUACUUGCACGUUAAUUAAAUGGGUCUCUAAACUAAUUAAAACGGCAGCAGUAGCUCAUCCUCGAGUGAUGAAUUGCAGAAAUAAAAAAAAUGUGGAGCCAUGGGGUUUCGAACCCAAGAUCUCUUGGCUGCACACCAACGAACUAACCAGCUGGACUGCUGCACGGUUGUGGUAAAAAUGAAGGAUGACGCCUAAUGAACCGAUACAGCCACAAGUCUGAACGAGGCUGAAAAUACUGUAACUGAACCUGAACCUGAACCUGAGAAAGGGAUGCGUCCGGCCAUGGAAGUAACAACAGGUCAAUGGCGCGGCAUGGACGCUGCUGGCGGGGGGAAGGCCGGAUCUGGGACGAGGAGCUCGUCGGGGCUCGGUUCCUGCUGGAUCCAGGCGCUGAUGUGGUCGGCAUCAGGUCCCGCUUCGGUUGAAACUCCACGUGCUGCUGCUGCUUCUAACUACAGAGAACACAGAGAGAGAGUUACGGGAGAGGAGGAGAGAGGAGGAAGAGGGAGGGAGAGGGGAGGCGAGGUCCUACCUGCGGGAGGUAGCCGGCAGCGGCCGGAGCUCCUCGCGGUGGUGGGGCGCUGCUGGAGAUGCCCGUAGGCGCGGGCAUCAGAGGGAGCCAGCGAGAGCAGAGGAGGGUGGCCUGGUCGAGGCUGGCCAAGGGGUGGCGCUCGAGGGCGACCUCCUGCUCGAGCCAGGAGCGCAGAGGGAGGCGCGGGGCAGCUCGGGCUGCGGGCGGGGCGCAGCAUGGUGGGGCGAGCGGGCGGAGGAGCUGCGGCUCGAGCUAGGCGCGACCAUGAUUCUCGGGACCGGCAGAUCGAGAGGAGAAUCGGGGGAAGCGAUGCUGACUGGAGGAAAGAUCUGGGAUGAUCCCGACGGGAAUUUUUCAAUGGGUGGCGGCGGCUGAUUCGGGAUUGGGGAGUGGAUCGAGGUAGAGGCUAUGGUUAGGUCUAGGUUUACUACAUAUAGCACUUGGUCGGUCUAAUAGGCAUUUGGACCCUUCGAUUAAAUCAGACGGUCAAAAUGACUAGGUUAGGGAGUCCAGUUGACAAACUGGUGACGGUUUGCGGUAAAACGGUGUUGAUCCGGAUCCAACGAUCAUCACCGUAUGAUUCAGGUUUCCGGAGGUUUUCGGGCUAGGUUGCGCGCAGGCCGGUGCACUGUGUAGAGGGGCUAGGCGGAGAUGAGAGGGAAAACAGGCAACCCGGCGACAGAGUUUAACAAUGUCGCGGGUGCGUGCCUGUGUGGUAGGUCUCAAACGGUCAACGACAAAACGGAGAGAACCGACAACUAACAACGGAUGCAGUUUUGAAAACUGGCGGCAAUGGAGUGUCGAUGCAAUGCAGAUGAUGCGCAUCAUGCGAUGAUGAUGCGACAAAUGAAAAUACCCACACGACGAAAACGGAAAGAAAAGGGGAAUCUUCUGGAACGCCGGCGUCGGGCUGUCAGACAUAUCUACUAUGUGUAGAUGCACAUGCCGUGUCUAUCGUAUCUUUGAUCCAAUAUAUGUAUAUGGUAAAUUAGACAUAUCCAUUAAAAAGGUUAGGGUGUGCUUGAAAGUAAAACUUAUAUCUAUAUGCACAUAAUUGAGUGAUCUUACCCUAUAUAUAUAUAUUGUAGUUGGACUAACUACUUCCGACCCAAUAAGUUUGGGGACCAUAUUGUUGUUGGAAUUAUGCCCUAGAGGCAAUAAUAAAUAUAGUUAUUAUUAUAAUUCCUGUAUCAAGAUAACCGUUUAUUAUCCAUGCUAUAAUUGUAUUGAAUGAAGACUCGUUUACAUGUGUGGAUACAUAGACAAAACACCGUCCCUAGCAAGCCUCUAGUUGGCUAGCCAGUUGAUCAAAGAUAGUCAGUGUCUUCUGAUUAUGAACAAGGUGUUGUUGCUUGAUAACUGGAUCACGUCAUUAGGAGAAUCACGUGAUGGACUAGACCCAAACUAAUAGACGUAGCAUGUUGAUCGUGUCAUUUUGUUGCUACUGUUUUCUGCGUGUCAAGUAUUUAUUCCUAUGACCAUGAGAUCAUAUAACUCACUGACACCGGAGGAAUGCUUUGUGUGUAUCAAACGUCGCAACGUAACUGGGUGACUAUAAAGAUGCUCUACAGGUAUCUCCGAAGGUGUUAGUUGAGUUAGUAUGGAUCAAGACUGGGAUUUGUCACUCCGUGUGACGGAGAGGUAUCUCGGGGCCCACUCGGUAAUACAACAUCACACACAAGCCUUGCAAGCAAUGUGACUUCGUGUAAGUUGCGGGAUCUUGUAUUACGGAACGAAUAAAGAGACUUGCCGGUAAACGAGAUUGAAAUAGGUAUACGGAUACUGACGAUCGAAUCUCGGGCAAGUAACAUACCGAAGGACAAAGGGAAUGACAUACGGGAUUAUAUGAAUCCUUGGCACUGAGGUUCAAACGAUAAGAUCUUCGUAGAAUAUGUAGGAUCCAAUAUGGGCAUCCAGGUCCUGCUAUUGGAUAUUGACCGAGGAGUCUCUCGGGUCAUGUCUACAUAGUUCUCGAACCCGCAGGGUCUGCACACUUAAGGUUCGACGUUGUUUUAUGCGUAUUUGAGUUAUAUGGUUGGUUACCGAAUGUUGUUCGGAGUCCCGGAUGAGAUCACGGACGUCACGAGGGUUUCCGGAAUGGUCCAGAAACGAAGAUUGAUAUAUAGGAUGACCUCAUUUGAUUACCGGAAGGUUUUCGGAGUUACCGGGAAUGUACCGGGAAUGACGAAUGGGUUCCGGGUGUUCACCGGGGGGGGCAACCCACCCCGGGGAAGCCCAUAGGACUUGGGGGUGGCGCACCAGCCCUUAGUGGGCUGGUGGGCCAUACAAAGGAAAAUCAAAGAGAAAGAAAAAAAAGGGAGGUGGGAAGGAAGGGAAGGACUCCCACCCACCAAACCAAGUCCAACUCGGUUUGGGGGGGGGGAGCCUUCCCCCCUUGGACUCGGCCGACCCCCUUGGGGCUCCUUGAGCCCCAAGGCAAGGUCCCCUCCCUCCCACCUAUAUAUACGGAGGUAUUGGGGCUGAUUUGAGACGACUUUUCCACGGCAGCCCGACCACAUACCUCCACGGUUUUUCCUCUAGAUCACGUUUCUGCGGAGCUCGGGCGGAGCCCUGCUGAGACAAGGUCAUCACCAACCUCCGGAGCGCCGUCACGCUGCCGGAGAACUCUUCUACCUCUCCGUCUCUCUUGCUGGAUCAAGAAGGCCGAGAUCAUCGUCGAGCUGUACGUGUGCUGAACGCGGAGGUGCCGUCCGUUCGGUACUAGAUCGUGGGACUGAUCGCGGGAUUGUUCGCGGGGCGGAUCGAGGGACGUGAGGACGUUCCACUACAUCAACCGCGUUCUCUAACGCUUCUGCUGUACGGUCUACAAGGGUACGUAGAUCACUCAUCCCCUCUCGUAGAUGGUCAUCACCAUGAUAGGUCUUCGUGCGCGUAGGAAAUUUUUUGUUUCCCAUGCGACGUUCCCCAACAGUGGCAUCAUGAGCUAGGUUCAUGCGUAGAUGUCUUCUCGAGUAGAACACAAAAGUUUUUGUGGGCGGUGAUGUGCGUUUUGCUGCCCUCCUUAGUCUUUUCUUGAUUCCGCGGUAUUGUUGGAUUGAAGCGGCUUGGACCGACAUUACUCGUACGCUUACGAGAGACUGGUUUCAUCGUUACGAGUAACUCCGUUGCUCAAAGAUGACUGGCAAGUGUCGGUUUCUCCAACUUUAGUUGAAUCGGAUUUGACCGAGGAGGUCCUUGGAUGAGGUUAAAUAGAAACUCAUAUAUCUCCGUUGUGGUGUUUGCGUAAGUAAGAUGCGAUCCUACUAGAUACCCAUGGUCACCACGUAAAACAUGCAACAACAAAAUUAGAGGACGUCUAACUUGUUUUUGCAGGGUAUGCUUGUGAUGUGAUAUGGCCAACGAUGUGAUGUGAUAUAUUGGAUGUAUGAGAUGAUCAUGUUGUAAUAGAAAAUAUCGACUUGCACGUCGAUGGUACGGCAACCGGCAGGAGCCAUAGGGUUGUCUUUAUACUAACGUUUGUGCUUGCAGAUGCGUUUACUAUUUUGCUAGGAUGUAGCUUUAGUAGUAAUAGCAUGAGUAGCACGACAAACCCCGAUGGCAACACGUUGAUGGAGAUCAUGGCGUGGCGCCGGUGACAAGAAGAUCGUGCCGGUGCUUUGGUGAUGGAGAUGAAGCAGCACGUGAUGAUGGCCAUAUCAUGUCACUUAUGAAUUGCAUGUGAUGUUAAUCCUUUUAUGCACCUUAUAUUGCUUAGAACGACGGUAGCAUUAUGAGGUGAUCUCUCACUAAAAUUUCAAGACGAAAUUGUGUUCUCCCCGACAGUGCACCAUUGCUAUAGUUCGUCAUUUCGAGACACCACGUGAUGAUCGGGUGUGAUAGACUCAACGUUCACAUACAACGGGUGCAAAACAGUUGCGCACGCGGAACACUCGGGUUAAGCUUGACGAGCCUAGCAUGUGCAGACAUGGCCUCGGAACACAUGAGACCGAAAGGUCAAUCAUGAAUUAUAUGGAUGAUAUGAUUAGCAUAGGGAUGCUUACCACUGAAACUAUACUCGACUCACGUGAUGAUCGGACUUGAGCUAGUGUAAGUGGAUCAUGAACCACUCAAAUGACUAGAGAGAUGUACUUUUUGAGUGGGAGUUUAGCAAAUAAAUUGAUUAAGUUAAACUCUAAUUAUCUUGAACAUAGUCUAAGUCCACUUUGAAUAUAUUUGUGUUGUAGAUCAUGGCUCACGCGACAGUCAUCCUGAAUUUUAAUACGUUCCUAGAGAAAGCUAAGUUGAAAGAUGAUGGAAGCAACUUUGUAGACUGGGCUCAUAAUCUUAAGCUAAUCUUACAAGCUGGGAAGAAAGAUUAUGUCCUUAAUGCUGCGAUAGGAGAUGAACCACCCACUAUGGCUGAUCAGGAUGUUAAGAACGCUUGGUUAGCACGUAAGGAUGACUACUCAAUAGUUCAAUGUGCAGUCUUGUAUGGCUUAGAACCGGGACUUCAACGUCGCUUUGAGCGUCAUGGAGCAUUUGAGAUGUUCCAGGAGUUGAAGUUUAUCUUUCAGAAGAACGCCCGGAUCGAGAGGUAUGAGACCUCCGAUAAAUUCUAUGCUUGCAAGAUGGAGGAAAACUCGUCUGUCAGUGAACAUGUGCUCAAAAUGUGUGGGUACUCAAACCGUCUAGCUGAGCUGGGGAUUGAACUCCCGCAAGAAGCUAUCACUGCAGAAUCCUUCAAUCACUGCCGCCAAGCUAUAAAGGCUUUGUGUUGAACUACAACAUGUAAGGGAUGAACAAGUCUCCCGGCGAGUUGUUUGCGAUGCUGAAAGUCGCAGAGUCUGAACUCCGUAAAGAGCAUCAAGUGUUGAUGGUGAAUAAGACCACUAGUUUCAAGAGAAACGGCAAAGGCAAGAAGGGCAAUUUGAAGAAGAGCGNNNNNNNNNNNNNNNNNNNNNNNNNNNNNNNNNNNNNNNNNNNNGAGCGUCAAGCCUGUUGCCAAUCCGACGAAGAAACCCAAAGCUGGACCUAAGCCUGAAACGGAGAGUUACUAUUGCAAGGGUAUGGGUCACUGAAAGCGCAAUUGCCCCAAGUAUCUGGCAGAUAAGAAGGCGGCCAAAGAAAAAUCAGGUAUAUUUGAUAUACAUGUUAUUGAUGUGUACUUAACCGGCUCUCGUAGUAGUGCCUGGGUAUUCGAUACCGGUUCUGUUGCUCAUAUUUGCAACUCAAAACAGGAACUGCGGAAUAGACGAAGGCUGGCGAAAGAUGAAGUGACGAUGCGCAUAGGAAAUGGUUCCAAGGUUGAUGCAAUCGCCGUCGGCACAGUGUCACUUCAGUUACCAUCAGGAUUAGUGAUGAACUUAAAUCAUUGUUAUUUAGUGCCUGCGUUGAGCAUGAACAUUAUAUCUGGAUCUUGUUUAUUGCGAGACGUUUACUAUUUUAAGUCAGAGAAUAAUGGUUGUUCUAUUUCUAUGAGUAACAUCUUUUAUGGUCAUGCACCUAAUGUGAGAGGAUUGUUCAUAUUGAAUCUUGAUAGCGAUAUGCAUAUACAUAACAUUGAGACCAAAAGAGUUAGAGUUAACAAUGAUAGCGCCAUAUUUUUGUGGCACUGCCGAUUAGGUCAUAUUGGUGUAAAGCGCAUGAAGAAACUCCAUGCUGAUGGACUUUUGGAGUCACUUGACUUUGAUUCACUUGACACGUGCGAACCAUGCCUCAUGGGCAAGAUGACUAAGACUCCGUUCUCCGGAACUAUGGAGCGUGCAAGUGACUUGUUGAAAAUCAUACAUACCGAUGCGUGUGGUCCGAUGAGCGUAGAGGCGCGCGACGGAUAUCGUUAUUUUCUCACCUUCACUGACGAUUUGAGUAGAUAUGGUUAUGUCUACUUGAUGAAGCACAAGUCUGAAACAUUUGAAAAUUUCAAGCAAUUUCAGAGUGAAGUGGAAAAUCAUCGUAACAAGAAGAUCAAGUUCCUACGGUCUGAUCGUGGGGGUGAAUAUCUGAGUUUUGAAUUUGGUGCUCACUUAAGACAAUGUGGAAUUGUUUCACAGUUAACACCGCCUGGAACACCACAACGUAAUGGUGUGUCCGAACGUCGUAAUCGUACUUUAUUAGAGAUGGUGCGAUCUAUGAUGUCUCUUACCAAUUUGCCGUUAUCAUUUUGGGGUUAUGCAUUAGAAACAGCUGCAUUCACUUUAAAUAGGGCACCAUCAAAAUCCGUUGAGACGACACCAUACGAACUGUGGUAUGGCAAAAGGCCAAAGUUGUCGUUUCUUAAAGUUUGGGGAUGUGAUGCUUAUGUCAAAAAGCUUCAGCCUAAAAAGCUGGAACCCAAAGCGGAAAGGUGCGUCUUCAUAGGUUACCCAAAAGAGAUAGUUGGGUACACCUUCUAUCUCAAAUCCGAGGGCAAAGUGUUUGUUGCUAAAAACAGAGCUUUUCUCGAGAAGGAGUUUCUCUCAAGAGAAUUGAGUGGGAGGAAGAUAGAACUUGACGAGGUUGUCGAACCUCUCAUCCCUCUGGAUGGUGGCGCAGGGCAAGGGGAAACCUCUGUCAUUGCGACACCGGUUGAGGAGGAAGUUAAUGAUGAUGAUCAUGAAACUCCGGUUCAAGUUUCUAUCGAACCACGCAGGUCGACGAGACCACGUACUGCUCUAGAGUGGUACGGUAAUCCCGUCUUAUCAAUCAUGUUGUUAGACAACAAUAAACCUGCAAAUUAUGAAGAAGCAAUGGUGGGCCCAGAUUCCAACAAAUGGCUAGAAGCCAUGAAGUCCGAGAUAGGAUCCAUGUAUGAGAACAAAGUGUGGACUUUGGAAGUACUACCUGAGGGCCGCAAGGCUAUUCAGAACAAAUGGAUCUUUAAGAGGAAGAUGGACGCUGACGGCAAUGUGACCGUUUAUAAAGCUCGACUUGGGGCAAAGGGUUUUUCACAAGUUCAAGGAGUUGACUACGAUGAGACUUUCUCACCCGUAGCGAUGCUUAAGUCCGUCAGAAUCAUGUUAGCGAUAGCUGCAUUUUUCGAUUAUGAGAUCUGGCAGAUGGAUGUCAAAACGGCGUUCCUUAACGGUUUCCUUAAGGAAGAGUUGUAUAUGAUACAACCCGAAGGUUUUGUCGAUCCUAAAAAUGCUGACAAGGUGUGCAAGCUCCAACGAUCUAUUUAUGGACUGGUGCAAGCAUCUCGGAGUUGGAACAAACGUUUUGAUGAGGUGAUCAAAGCAUUUGGGUUUAUACAAGUGGUUGGAGAAUCUUGUAUUUACAAGAAAGUGAGUGGGAGCUCUGUGGCGUUUCUAAUAUUAUAUGUGGAUGACAUAUUGCUGAUUGGAAACAACGUGGAGUUUUUGGAGAGCAUAAAGGAUUACUUGAAUAAAAGUUUCUCUAUGAAGGACCUAGGAGAAGCUGCUUACAUUCUAGGCAUUAAGAUCUAUAGGGAUAGAUCAAAACGCCUGAUAGGACUUUCACAAAGCACAUACCUUGAUAAAGUUUUGAAAAGGUUCAAAAUGGAACAGUCCAAGAAAGGGUUCUUGCCAGUUCUACAAGGUACGAGAUUGAGUAAGACUCAGUGCCCAGCAACUGAUGAAGAUAGAGAGCAUAUGCGCUCCGUCCCCUAUGCUUCAGCCAUAGGUUCUAUCAUGUAUGCGAUGUUGUGCACUAGACCGGAUGUUAGCCUGGCCAUAAGUAUGGCAGGUAGGUUCCAGAGUAAUCCAGGAGUGGAUCACUGGACAGCGGUCAAGAAUAUCCUGAAGUACCUGAAAAGGACUAAGGAGAUGUUUCUCGUGUAUGGAGGUGACGAAGAGCUCGCCGUAAAAGGUUACGUCGAUGCAAGCUUUGACACAGAUCCGGACGACUCUAAGUCGCAAACCGGAUACGUAUUUAUUCUUAAUGGGGGUGCGGUAAGCUGGUGCAGUUCCAAGCAAAGCGUCGUAGCAGAUUCUACAUGUGAAGCGGAGUACAUGGCUGCCUCGGAGGCGGCCAAGGAGGGUGUCUGGAUGAAGCAGUUCAUGACGGAUCUUGGAGUGGUGCCAAGCGCACUGAAUCCAAUAACCUUGUUCUGUGACAACACGGGUGCCAUUGCCUUAGCAAAGGAACCGCGGUUUCACAAGAAGACCAGACACAUCAAACGACGCUUCAACCUCAUCCGCGACUACGUCGAGGGAGAGGACGUAAAUAUAUGCAAAGUGCACACGGAUCUGAAUGUAGCAGACCCGCUGACUAAACCUCUUCCACGGCCAAAGCAUGGUCAACACCAGAACUGUAUGGGUGUUAGAUUUAUUACAAUGUAAUUCACAUGAUGAUGUGAGGGCUAGAUUAUUGACUCUAGUGCAAGUGGGAGACUGUUGGAAUUAUGCCCUAGAGGCAAUAAUAAAUAUAGUUAUUAUUAUAAUUCCUGUAUCAAGAUAACCGUUUAUUAUCCAUGCUAUAAUUGUAUUGAACGAAGACUCAUUUACAUGUGUGAAUACAUAGACAAAACACCGUCCCUAGCAAGCCUCUAGUUGGCUAGCCAGUUGAUCAAAGAUAGUCAGUGUCUUCUGAUUAUGAACAAGGUGUUGUUGCUUGAUAACUGGAUCACGUCAUUAGGAGAAUCACGUGAUGGACUAGACCCAAACUAAUAGACGUAGCAUGUUGAUCGUGUCAUUUUGUUGCUACUGUUUUCUGCGUGUCAAGUAUUUAUUCCUAUGACCAUGAGAUCAUAUAACUCACUGACACCGGAGGAAUGCUUUGUGUGUAUCAAACGUCGCAACGUAACUGGGUGACUAUAAAGAUGCUCUACAGGUAUCUCCGAAGGUGUUAGUUGAGUUAGUAUGGAUCAAGACUGGGAUUUGUCACUCCGUGUGACGGAGAGGUAUCUCGGGGCCCACUCGGUAAUACAACAUCACACACAAGCCUUGCAAGCAAUGUGACUUCGUGUAAGUUGCGGGAUCUUGUAUUACGGAACGAAUAAAGAGACUUGCCGGUAAACGAGAUUGAAAUAGGUAUACGGAUACUGACGAUCGAAUCUCGGGCAAGUAACAUACCGAAGGACAAAGGGAAUGACAUACGGGAUUAUAUGAAUCCUUGGCACUGAGGUUCAAACGAUAAGAUCUUCGUAGAAUAUGUAGGAUCCAAUAUGGGCAUCCAGGUCCUGCUAUUGGAUAUUGACCGAGGAGUCUCUCGGGUCAUGUCUACAUAGUUCUCGAACCCGCAGGGUCUGCACACUUAAGGUUCGACGUUGUUUUAUGCGUAUUUGAGUUAUAUGGUUGGUUACCGAAUGUUGUUCGGAGUCCCGGAUGAGAUCACGGACGUCACGAGGGUUUCCGGAAUGGUCCAGAAACGAAGAUUGAUAUAUAGGAUGACCUCAUUUGAUUACCGGAAGGUUUUCGGAGUUACCGGGAAUGUACCGGGAAUGACGAAUGGGUUCCGGGUGUUCACCGGGGGGGGCAACCCACCCCGGGGAAGCCCAUAGGACUUGGGGGUGGCGCACCAGCCCUUAGUGGGCUGGUGGGCCANNNNNNNNNNNNNNNNNNNNNNNNNNNNNNNNNNNNNGGAACCCACCCCGGGGAAGCCCAUAGGACAUGAGGAUGGUGCACCAACCCUUAGUGGGCUGGUGGGACAGCCCAAAAGGGCCCUAUGCGCCAUACAAAGGAAAAUCAAAGAGAAAGAAAAAAAAGGGAGGUGGGAAGGAAGGGAAGGACUCCCACCCACCAAACCAAGUCCAACUCGGUUUGGGGGGGGGAGCCUUCCCCCCUUGGACUCGGCCGACCCCCUUGGGGCUCCUUGAGCCCCAAGGCAAGGUCCCCUACCUACCACCUAUAUAUACGGAGGGAUUGGGGCCAAGGCAAGGUCCCCUCCCUCCCACCUAUAUAUACGGAGGUAUUGGGGCUGAUUUGAGACGACUUUUCCACGGCAGCCCGACCACAUACCUCCACGGUUUUUCCUCUAGAUCACGUUUCUGCGGAGCUCGGGCGGAGCCCUGCUGAGACAAGGUCAUCACCAACCUCCGGAGCGCCGUCACGCUGCCGGAGAACUCUUCUACCUCUCCGUCUCUCUUGCUGGAUCAAGAAGGCCGAGAUCAUCGUCGAGCUGUACGUGUGCUGAACGCGGAGGUGCCGUCUGUUCGGUACUAGAUCGUGGGACUGAUCGCGGGAUUGUUUGCGGGGUGGAUCGAGGGACGUGAGGACGUUCCACUACAUCAACCGCAUUCUCUAACGCUUCUGUUGUACGGUCUACAAGGUUACGUAGAUCACUCAUCCCCUCUCGUAGAUGGUCAUCACCAUGAUAGGUCUUCGUGCGCGUAGGAAAUUUUUUGUUUCCCAUGCGACGUUCCCCAACAAUUGUGCCUAAUUGGUGGUUUAGGUACUUUGGAGAAGCAUUGCUAUCUUGACUUAUUCUCAGAAAAAGAUGGUGCUAGUCACGAAGAAAUUAGAGUCAAGACAGGACUCGGCUACUUCUACGCCAUACCAAUGCUUUUCCGGUAACAAGUAUUUACUUCAUGCAUGUACAAUAUUAGAGUCAACACUGUGUAGGUUGCAUCAUGGCAUGAACAUAAUACUUUUUCCACUUUGUAAUUUCCUGCAUGUCCUUGUGAAUCACAUUGAUGAAAUGCUUAGUGUUGGUGUUCUCUUAGCUCUUCAUGGUCAUAUGAAUGAGACAAAUUUGUGCCAUGACCCUUGUGUCAUGUGCCUUGCUCUUAUAAAAGGAUAACUUGUGCAUGAUUCUAUGCACUCAUGCGUUUGACGUAUUUUGGAUCCACAUUUAUCGUAGUAAUCGUAUUAAAAGACUUACAUCAGACCAUGUCCAAAAUAUGUUAGUUGAGAGGUCCCUUUGGCUGCUACACAUGCGAGAAUACUUAGUAUCACCUCAUCAUCAAAAAUUCCAGAAUCAGCCUCUGCCUCCUCCUCUCUCUCGGUCGUCCGACGUGUCUCGGACAUCCGACGGCUAACCUCAUUCCGGACGUCCGACCAGUGUCGGUCGUCCGAUGGCAAAAUCCUCUCCGAACGUCCGACGCGUGUCGGACGUCCGACACAUCGGGGCCUAUAAAUAGAUGGGCGCGGGGCUGGGCUUUUCCCUAGCCCUCACGCGCCCCCUUUUUUCCCGUGCAGCCGCCGCCGCCAGCACCAGGAGCGCUCGCCCGCGCUGCCACUCCCGAGAUCUGCCUGAUCUCCUCCACGGAUCCUUCUCUUCUUCCUCUUCUUCCUCCGCGGGAUCCAUCUGCAGGUAUCUCCUUCGUUCCCCUCGCGUUUGGUCCCCUCUCUCCCAAGUCCACGUGUUCGUUCAUAUGGUUUGACCAUGUUCAUUCCUCAUUUGGGGUUUCCAUCCGUGUAGGUUGUUGUGCAUCAUGCCCAGGGUUAAGCAUGCCGCCCGGAAGGACGUUGCUGGCUCAUCUGCUCAUGCCCCUACUGGCACGGGGUCGGACUCGGAAGGGCAACGUCGUCCCUUCAAACGGACUGCCCGACGUCCUCCGUCUCCACAACUCCCCUCGUCGUCUGAUGGUGAUGGCUCUGACUUCGAGGAUGAGCUUGCCGCCGAGGACCGUGCUGACCAGCCCGCCGAUCGGAGGUCCAUGCCAAAGCCCGGGACUCGCAGGGCGUCCUAUAUGCCACCACCUCCUCCUUCUCAGCCCGCAGGUGAAGCUCGUCGCAUCUCACUUGAACCCCCUGCUACCUUAGGUCGUGAAGUCACGAACUUCACCACGCUUGCCAAGUCUUCAUACCUCACUUUCCGCCGCGACAUUGAUCAAUUCACUGUCGUACGUGACUCUACGGACUCACGUUUCCGCACACACGUCCAGGCGGACAUUUUUACUACAGUCAUAGUUUCUAAGGGUCUCUCUGUUCAUCACUUCAUAGAUCUUGAGCAUAUUCGCAUGCACCCGGCGAAAUACCCGGGUGCCAUUGAGCUUAUUGAGGCAUCGGGGCUUGCUGCCCCGUUUGCUUUUCAUCGUGAUUUUAACGCUGCUGCCAUUCACCAGUUCUAUGCCACAUGCUUCUUUGCUCCAAAUCACACUGUUAGCUGGAUCACCUCUGACGUUCGCUUCACAGCUUCUUAUGAUACGUUUGUUGCCGCACUUGGUUUCCCAACUCCGGCUUCAAAAUACAUAGGAAUGAUCCUAACCAUGCACCUAAGUUCAUUGAGGCGUGUGGGUAUCUCCUCAAACCACUCCGUGAGCUUGAUGCGGAUGAACGCAUGAAGGAUCUUAACCAGGUAUCCAUCUGGCGUUCACCUUACUUUAUCAUCUUUCAGUGUCUUAUCCGCACCAUCUAUCCCAAGAUGGGUGAUAAGGGCUCUUGCAGUGGCUACUGUAUUGACAUCAUGUCACACUUGUGCGAGCACCCCAAGAGCAAAAUUAAUGUGCCUCACUUUCUAUGGCAUGAGAUUCAGCUUGCUAGUUUUCAAUACAAGCGAGCUUUCCCUCAUGCCCCCUUCAUCCAGACUCUUAUUAAUCAUGUUGUUGAUUUCUCUGUUGAUGUCACUCACACACAUCACAAGUGGGUCAUUCCCGCUCACAUGGCGGAUAACUAUGUUCCCAAGAAAACCCCAUCCUCCACAUCCACUCGCCGCACUGCUGCCCGGUCAGCAACCCCCUCAUCUAGCUCCGCUCCUCUCGGUCGCUUUGCCAAAUUCAUUGGCAAGGCACAUUCUGCUAUGAUGAAGGCCGUCUCUUUCCAGUGUGGUCAAACCCAUGACGUGGUUUCUCGCCUAGUCUCCUCCAAGAAUGCCCUCAAGGCUCGUCUGAGAGACUCGGGCGCUCUUGAUGUGAGUGAUGAUGAGGCCCUUCUUGCUGCUCCUCCUUCUGACUUUGGCUUCCCAUCUGGUCCUGAGUGGGCUGAUUUUCUUGACGAGGCUGGUGGCAGUGGUUUGCCUGAUGAUGAGGAUGAUGCCUGAUUAAUGAUGAUAUUGAUGAGGGUGAUCCUUGAGUAUGUGAUAGCAUUGCUGGUUUUCCCUCCUUUUUGGUCCUUGAUGCCAAAGGGGGAGACCAUUAUCUUAUCUUAGUUUUCGAUUUUAGUUCCUCUCACAAUGUAUGGUAUGAUGUAUUAUGUCGAACUUAAUGAUGUAUCAUCAUGUAACAAUACUUAUGGAUGGUGUGCUAUGCCAUCACCUAUGGAUGAUGUAUUGUUGAACUAUCAUGUGGUGAUGAGAUAUCACGAUAUUAUCGUUGUGUCAUAUGAUGAUGAGUUUUAUGCUAUCCUAUUGAUUCAUAUGAUAUGCUAUGUAUUGUUGAACUAUUAUGGUGUUAUAUCAUGCUAUUAUCUUCAAUGCACACAUUAAGGGGUAGCUCUCGCACUUACCUAUUUUACUAUGCAUAUAAUAAGGGGGAGCUUCAUAAGCAUCGUAACAAAACUCUCCUAAGCCACACAUGUCUAUUACUAUUGUUGAGAGCUAUAUGUAUGUUGUCAUCAACUACCAAAAAGGGGGAGAUUGAAAGUGUAGUCAUGCCCUUAAUCGUGUUUUGGUGUUGCUGACAACACACAUAUAGAUAAUUAAUCACUAACCCUUUUUAAGCUAUUGUGAAUGAUCAUGUGUUGAUAGGGACAAGCUCAUGUUCUAACAAGGACAAGAUCAAGAUAAGCAUUCCUGAGCACUACAUGCUUGAUCCUUGUGGAUGUUCACAUGGUGGACAAAUGAAGAUAAAUAUAUAAGCUAGGCUUUCCACAUUGUGUAUGGGAGAGAUACUUGAAGACUUCAUCAUGUCUUGCUUUCAACAUUGAGCCAAGAAGGAACAACAACAUCAAGCUCAAGUGAAAGGGCUAACUCAAGGUAUCAGUUACUUUGAUGUUAGCGGUGCGGAGUGAUGAUCAGCGAAUAAAAGUACACACUCAAGUAUGGAUCAUCGGUAUCCCUUUUACAAUUCUUGAGUCUUUAGGGAUCCCGAACUAUUAAGAGGGGAUCACAGGUUUUUGUGAUGAACUUGCUCAAACUAGAUAUCCACUAUUCUGCUCAAUACCACAUAUUCUCUACUCUGCUCCUAUCUCAAAACAGGUCUAAUGUCUCGGACUUCCGGCUCCCUCCGGACGUCCGAGGGCCGGUCAAGGGUCGGACGACCGACAGGCUUCGGAAAUCCGGAGCCCUGCACCAGAAGAACUUGAGCCCUAUAACUCGGAUUUCCGGCUCCCUCCGGACAUCCGAGGGUCGGUCGACCGACCAGCUUCGGAAAUCCGGAGCCCUGCACCAGAAGAACGUGAGCUCUAUAACUCGGAUUUCCGGCUCCCUCCGGACAUCCGAGGGUCGGUCGACCGACCAGCUUCGGAAAUCCGGAGCCCUGCACCAGAAGAACGUGAGCUCUAUAACUCGGAUUUCCGGCUCCCUCCGGACGUCCGAGGGCCGGACGUCCGACCCCUUCGGAAAUCCGGAACCUUGCACCAGAAGAAGUUGAGUCGAAUAACUCGAAUUUCCGGCCUUCUCCGAACGUCCGGUCCCUGUUCAACUCACAGUGUUUCCAGACAUAUCUACAGCUCUCGGACGACCGACCCCUGUCGGACGUUCGACCCCUUACGGACGCCCGGACUUCCGUAAACUGCCGGACGUCCGAACCCUGUGUGACUUAAAGUGUCCCCAACGGCUGUUUUUACACUCCCCACUAUAUAUACCCCCUCCCACUUCGUGAGAGGGUGUCCAACACAGCCAUAUCCUCAUAAGAACACAUUUCUACCUCACACACAUUUGCUCACACCAAAUCUUAGAUCCCAAGAGCAUUUGUGAGCCCCUUUGAGAGUUGUUCCAAUCAAAAGAUAGAUCGUCUCCCUCUCCUUCUCUCAACCCAAGCUAUUUGAGAUUUGAGCAAGUUUUGAGCAUUCCCCGUGAUCUUGUUACUCUUGGAGGUUGGAGACUCCUAGGCGGUAGGAGUUCUUCGGAGAGGAAUCAAUCCGUGUGAUUACCCCCGGAAAAGUUUGUGAGGGUUUGGAAGCCACCUCAAAGGCUUACCACUAGUGGUUGAGAAACGCCUUCGUGGUGUUAUCUCAAAGGGAGAAUAGGGUGAGCCUUCGUGGCGUUGGUGUGCCUUCGUGGUAACAUCCACCUCUCUAACGGUGACUAGCUUCCCUCCAAGGAAGUGAACAUCGAGAUACAUCUUCGUCUCAGUGACCUUGGUUAUCCUUGACCCUAACUCCUUACUUGUGGUUUACUUGUGUUACUUGAGCAUACAUACAUUGCAUAUUGGUUGUGCUCACUAUAUUGUGUUGGCUAUUUCUUGUACAAUAUUAAUCACUCAAGCAUACCCUCUAUAUCCACACGUUCACACUUGCAGCUUUUGAUAUAUCGUGUGAUAUAGCGUGAUCUAGUAUCUUGUGUCGUUCACCUACUUGUCGUGUGAUAUAGCUCAAGUAAGUUUGUGUAACUUACUUGUGCUCGUUAGUAACUAUAUUGUGUCCAUCUUGGUAGAUCGUGUUGUUGAUACACGUUGCAGUGCCUAGUGCAUUUAGGAUUUGUGCUUGACAAGUACCCUCUUAGUUUAUUUCCGCAUUAGGUUAAGCCAAAUCCGAAGAAGUUUUUAAAUAGCCUAUUCACCCCCCCUCUAGGCGUCAUCGAGUGCUUUUCAGUUGGCCAAGCUCAAGAAGACCGAAAAAGAUUGUAGAUGUGAUCUUGCACGGCAAAUUGCAUUGUGUACAAUAAAGGAAUAAUAUGGUGAGUUCAAUGUGGAAAACCACGGCCAGGUCAUUGAUUGGUUAGUGAGGCAACCAUUUUUGCCGCUAUCGAAGCAGGCUUCUCAUUGGGCAUGGGUGAAAGAAAGAAAUGAUGUUCUUUGUUGUAAUCUGGGACCGUACGACAAAUAGAUUGGUGCUCAUUAGCUUAGCAUUCGGCUAUGUAACCUUCGUCAUUUGAACUAUAAUGACAUGUAUCCAUUUUGUUACCAUUUUCUCAUUUGAACCAUUAUGACUUGUACCCUUAUCAUUUGAACUCCUGAUGAACUUGAUGUCCUAUGUCAUAUUAAGUAAAUUGAUGUUCUAUAUUUCAUUUAAGUCGUGUUUUGUUGUAUGUCAUUUGAACUAAUCUUUGAAACCGCAAUAUUCAUGUACGAUGGUCGUUCCAGAAAUCGUUUUGCGGGUAGCAAUGGAGAAAUGUUUAGAGGAGUGACGCAGUUGGGUGAUGGCUCAGCUUGAAGCAUGGAUAAAGAGUUACGAGGAGGCAAAUGCAGUUACGAUGGAUUUCAACAAGUAUCACUUUUGCAAGAAUAAGAAAGUUGUGGAAGAAAAAGAAAAGAUACUUCAUGAGCUGCAGGAGAAGGAACAUACUUGUAGACACGCUUUGGCAAUGGAGAUAUCAUUUUCUAUCAGCAAACAAGAAUUCCAAGAGGUGGACUUGACAAGACUUGGACAGGUUAUUGGAUGGGCAAUCAAACAAGGUGUGUCGGAGAAUCCUAACUGACGUGCUCGAUGGGAUUGGUUCCGCGCUGUAAAAGAUGUGAUGAUCCAUUUGUCGGGAUCCGCUGAGUUUGUAUUGGAGCCUAAUCGUGAGUGUGAUGAAUAAAUUGAACGUAUUAAACAUAUUAGAGAUUGGUUGCCGGUGUAGAACAAGAUUGUAAUGACUUGUAUCCUUCUCACUUAAACUCUUCAAUGUAAUGAACUAUGUCGGAAUUAUUUGACAACUCCUCAAGCCUGGUUAUUUUAUGUUAUGUUUGAUUGUUUUAUUGCAAAAAGAGUCUAUUAGAGUUUAUUUACUGAUUAUUCUAGGACCCUACCGCCACGCCCUCUGACAGUAGGUUGUCAAACCCUACUGUAGAGAAAAUCAACAUUCAAGACAACAAAGAGCUUGCACUAAAUCCGGUACCCUACUUCCGGGGUCACGGGGGUAGGCUUGGGCACCCUACCGCCCAGGUCCUUGGAGGUAGGCUGCAAAGCACGCAAAAAAGCCGCCCCAAAGUCCGAGAUCUUACCGCCACUCCAUUUGGUGAUAGGGUGUCAAACCCUAUCGUAAAAAAACCAACAUUCAAGACGACACACAACUUGUACUAAAUCUAGUACCCUACCGCUGAUGCGCCUCCAACGUAUCUAUAAUUUUUUAUUGUUCCAUGCUGAUAUAUUAUCAUUCUAGAAUACUUUUGGGUUGUUUAUUUACCCAUUUUUAUUAUUUUUGAGCACUAACUUAUUGACCCAAUGCCAGUGCCAAUUGCUGUUUUCUGCGUGUUUUUCACUUUUCAGGUUUUCCAUACCAAACGAAGUCCAAUUGCCCUGAAACUUUUAUUGUUUUUUCUGGACCAAAAGAAGACCAACGAGCAUCGAAAAAAGGCUGGAGGCCUUACGAGGGGCCCACAAGCCAACAGGACGCGUCCGGGGGGGGGGGGCGGGGGGGNNNNNNNNNNNNNNNNNNNNNNNNNNNNNNNNNNNNNNNNNNNNNNNNNNNNNNNNNNNNNNNNNNNNNNNNGGGGUGGGUGGGCUGAUAGCUUGUGCCUCCCUCGUGGCCCUCUAGACUUCGUUCUUUGUGCCUCCCUCGUGAACCCAUCCUCAUCCAAUUCUUCCUCUGGACCCUCAUAAUCUGAGCCAUACCCACACAUACGGGUAUAAGGGAGGGUACGAACCAUGUCUUGUUGGUGCACAAUUGAAAGGACGUGGAUGUCGCCUAGAGGGGGGGGUGAAUAGGCGCUUUAAAAUAAUUAAGGUUUAGGCUUGAACAAAUGCGGAAUAAAACUAACGUUUAAUAUGUCAAGCACAAAACUUACAAACAACUAGGCUCACCUAUGUGCACCAACAACUUAUGCUAAGCAAGAUAAACAACUAAGUGAUAGCAAGAUAUAUUACAAUAAACAAUAUGUCUAUCACAAAGUAAAGUGCAUAAGUAAAGGGUUCGGGUAAGAGAUAACCGAGGCACGGGGAGACGAUGAUGUAUCCCGAAGUUCACACCCUUGCGGAUGCUAAUCUCCGUUAGAGCGGUGUGGAGGCACAAUGCUCCCCAAGAUGCCACUAAGGCCACCGUAAUCUCCUCACGCCCUCGCACAAUGCAAGAUGCCGUGAUUCCACUAAGGGACCCUUGAGGGCGGUCACCGAACCCAUACAAAUGGCAAACCUUGGGGCGGUCACUAAACCCCUACACGUGGCAACCCUUGGGGGCGGUUACCGGUACCCGUACAAAUUGCUCGGGGCUAUCUCCACAACCUAAUUGGAGGCCCCGACGCUUGCCCGGAGCUUCACACCACAAUGAUUGAGCUCCGAGACACCACCAAGCUUCUAGGAUGCCAAAGCUUCUAAGUACCAAAGGUAGUAAGCUUCUCAACUUCUCACUUCCAUGUAUCACCGUGGAGAACUCAAACCGAUGCAACUAAUGCAAUGGCAAGAACACACGAAGUGAUCAAGUCCCUCACACUCAAAUCCCUCCACAACAACAAAAGCUAUGGAGAAAUAUGAGAGGAAGAACAAGGAGCUCACAAAGAACUCCAAGAUCUAGAUCCAAGGGGUUCCCCUCACAUAGAGGAGAAAGUGAUUGGUGGAGAUGUGGAUCUAGAUCUCCUCUCUCUUUUCCCUCAAGAACAAGCAAGAACCAUUGGAGGGAUUGAGAGUUAGCAAGCUCUAAGAAUGUCAACAAUGGAGGUAGAACAAGAGCUCAACGGAUGGAUAAAACCAAGGGGGAAGAAGACCCCCUUUAUAUAGUGGGGGAAGGAAUCAGACUGUUACCCCCACUCUCUGCCCGAGCUCCAGCGGUACUACCGCUGGCUGCAGCGGUACUACCGUUGGCUGCAGCGGUACUACCGUUGGGCCCCUGGUAGUGCAAAGGCACUACCACCGCCAAGAAAGUCUUCGCAAAAAGGUCCGUCCAUGAACAACCGCUAGGCAGGCAGUACUAAGCUCCUGGAGCGGUACUACCGCUGACCAGGGGCGGUACUACCGCCAGCCAGCGGUACUACCGCUAGGGCCAGCGGUACUACCGCCAACUCUAGCAGUACUAUCGCUAGGUCAAGCGGUACUACCGCUAGGUCCAGCGGUACUACCGCUCGCCACUGAAACAGCCAUAACUUUCGCAUACGAGCUCCGAAUCGAGCAAACCCAAGCUUGUUGGAUUCAGGACGACGAGAGCUAUCCAAACAGCGACUGGAAAUCUUAAGACCAUGCAGAUAUGAAAAUGCCAAUGAUAUAGAGAUGUGAGUCCUCUAUGAAUGAAGAACUGGCAAAAACUCCAACAUCGAAAACAUCAUAGUAGAUGCAUAUGGACUCCGUCUUCGAUGAACUCGAGCUUGUCACAAAGAUGACCAUAAGCUCUAAAACUCACAAAGAGAAACACCAAACAAGAACCAAGAAGUAUGAUGCAAGGAUGCAAAUGGUUUGAGCUCUCAACGAACGAUACGUUCAAGCUACUCACUUGAGAGCCCCCCUUGAUAGUAUAGCAAUCUAUCCUAAACAGAAAACCUAUCAAGGGCAAACCUAUACCUUGCACCUCGUCCUCUUGAGCUAGAUGAUGAUGAUCUUGGCUUCCUCAAGAUGGACCACCUUUCUUGAUUGCGUUGGCUUGAUGAAGACUAAUUGAUUGCUCCCCCAUACUCACUAUGGGUGAGCCACUCUUCAGCAUAUCUUCACAAGUCCAUUGCCACCACAAUGGACGGCAAACUUCAAGCAUGAUAUCUUCGUGCUGAUCCACUUGAACUUGCACAUCGCAAUCUUGAUGACGAUCACAACUUGACGUCAUACUUCAUGGGUUGUAUGAGAUCUUCCCUUUGACGCAAGCCCAUGGAAACACACCUAACCCCCACAUAGAACUCUCACGAAGACCAUGGGUUAGUACACAAACACGUAAUGGACAAUGCUUACCAUACCACGGGAUCACUUGAUCCCUCUCGGUACAUCUUGUACGCUUUGUGUGUUGAUCAUCUUGAUUUACUCUUUGUCUCAGAUCUUGAUCAACCAUGUGUCUCUAUGACCAUUCUUUGGAUAAUACCUUGAAUACCACCUUGGUCAUCAUAUAAACUCCUUGAACCCAACAGAUGGACUUCAAGAAGUGCCUAUGGACAAAUCCUAUAAAUAUAACUUAAGGCAACCAUUAGUCCAUAGGAAUUGUCAUCAAUUACCAAAACCACAUAUGGAGAUAUAUGCUCUAACAAUAAUGACAUCCAAGUUACCAAUGGGAUUGUAAUAAAUCUCUUCAUCUUCCGCAUAAGCAUCCUCUUGAGUAACAAUAGCAUCAUCAUCAAUAUGACCACUAGCAUCUUCUUGAACAUGAGGAAUAGCAUCAUCUCAAAGUACUAGGGUUCUAGCAUUGAUAUCCUUUUUGAUUAGUGGUUGGCUACUUGGUGGUUGGCUAGAAGAAUUGGGGACAUACACCUCCACACUAACAUCAUGUAUUGGGGAGAAUACAUUGCGAUUCAAAUCAAUUCGGAGUGGAGGAGCAUCAACCUUUAUGGCAAAUAUUUCAAGUGAAGUGUCUUGUGAUGCGUCCACUUUUUCCUUGUACACAUCCCAAUGCAAUUGGGAGGUGAUGGGCAUACUCUUUAAUCGGGACUUUAAUCCCAAUCCAACGUCAUACCUCCUAAUAAGAUUAACCUCGACAAUUGGGUCAUUCCAAUGUAAGACGCUUCUCAAUUUCACUAUAAGAUCAUCAAAGCUUGGACCUGUGUCAAAAAUCAUAGCCUCUCCCCCUUCAUCGUCAUUUCCAUUCAUCAAAGUCGCCUUGUUCAAAUAGUGAACAUUUAAGAGCCUACCCAUCUAAGAACAACGGAAACAAUGAAACAAUGAAACAAUAAAGUCAACUACAUACUUUAUGCACACAUUAAACAAAUAACUUCUAUUAAUUCUAUUCAAUCAAGAAAAAACACAUGGUCCAUCAUCAUUACCUUAAACCUAACCCCAACCCUAAUCCUAAACCUUAACCUUAACCUAAUCACUAACAUGACCACUAAUCCUAGCAUUAGAUCUCGGUACCCCCAACAAUGAUAGGCCCACAAAACAUAUACGAAGCACAAACAUAACAAAAAAUGCAUCAUAUUCAUCAACUCCAUCAUAAUUUUAGCAAAAGCUAGGGUUUGCAAAUAAGUGAGCAAAUCAACCAUAAUAGAUGAUUUCAAUCAAGAAAAAAAGAGGGGAGUAGGAGAUGCACCUUGGGUGAUGAAAAUGCUCCGAAUCCACCGGUUAAAUCCCAAGCAAAUGUCAUCUUAUCCAUGUCAGGACCCUACCGCCAGGGUCUACCACGGUAGGUGUAGAUACCCUACCGCUAGGCUGGUUGGCUUAGGUCCUUUCUCACGUCAACGACUAACUGCCAUCCGUCGUCCUCCGUCAAUCUAUCGUCACGGGCGCCGACGGUUGUGCCAGCCUACCGCAACGGCCUACAAUGGUAGGUGAAAGAGUCAAAUCCUGAUUAUUUUUUUCAAACUAGGGUCAAAUGUCGAUUUACCUCACAAAAAAGUUCAAAACACGAAAUUUAGCCAAGGAGAGGCAAGCUUCNNNNNNNNNNNNNNNNNNNNNNNNNNNNNNNNNNNNNNNAAGGAGAGGCAAGCUUCGUUUUUGGAUCCACCUUCGCCGCAGAACGCCAAACUUCCUGGACACCCAAAUUGUCACUAGGUCCAAGUCGUCACCUACAUUUUACACAUGUCCAACAAACCAUGUCAUCUCUAUCUCAAACAGAGCCAGAAAAAAGAGAGAAUUAAAUUUCAUGACAGCCUGACCGUGUCUUAAGUCCAGAAAACGACGUCAAAUCAUUCAAACAAAACGGACGCGUGGUAUGUGCUGUAGAGAUCUGAUCUAUCCAUCUAACCAAAAAGUGAGGCGUUGGUCCAUCCAACCGGGCCUGAAUCAGCUAUGUGGUCCACACCUGUCAUCCAUCUCAUGUUUGACCUAAAACAGCCCCCCCNNNNNNNNNNNNNNNNNNNNNNNNNNNNNNNNNNNNNNNNNNAACAAAGCCCCCCCCCCCCCCCCCCCCACCACAUAUUGUUUUCCAAAGAAAAGAAUCUCGAUAACUGCUUUGCUUGUAUUUACAGCUUCCUUCCUACAGGCACGAUGAAAUGAUCUGGAGCUAUUCUACCUUCAACUUAAUCCCAUUCGAUGCAGGCGUCCUAGCACUAACCUUUGCUGGUUUCAUAUAUUUUACAGCCCAAAAUUCUUUACUACCCUACGACAUUUUCUCGGCGCCAUGCGUCACGAAUUCUUCCCCCUUUUCUUGUCCCUGGGUUCAUGGCCCAGGUGAUGACUCUGGAGAAGAUCCGAGAGCGUGAUCUUUCCACAGUUUCCUGAGUCCAGCCUCUGGAACUGGUCCACGAUCAUCCUGAUGUCCUUAUCCGAAAUCUUCCCCAUCUCUUUCAGCUUGUAGACCACAAACUCCGAUUUCCUGAAACAACGCGAAUGCAAAACAUUAACCAAUACAGCUGCUACAACCAGGCAAGUUGUAUAAAAAUGGAACUAAAACAAAUGCUCUUCCAGGAAGUGUGACGGAAAAUAUUUCUUAUUAUUCCGUUCUGGCUGUGAAGUAACUGUUAGCUAAAAGUAUUAACACCAUGAGCAUUUCGAGAAAAUUGUCUAUUUGUGUUGCCACCAAAUUAAACGUAAAUAACUAAAUGUGGGUGUAAUAUGCAGUUUCAGGAGUACAGAGCAGUCUGAUGCAAUCAGCAGCCUAAAUGACAUUGAUUUACUAUUGCAAUCUGAAUAUUGUGUUUGAAUGACAACUGGUGUAUAAUGCUAAGGCAGACAUAAAAGGGUGCAGCUUCCAUCUUUUAUUGCUUAUAAGCGCGCUCCAUUUUCUUUCUUGUGGUGCUAGACGCAAAUCACUUGGAUGCAUACAUGCCAAACCCAAGCAAACAACAAAUGCUUCUCAACAAAAUGUUCAAAUCAAUGUGCUAAGAAAUGGAUGCAGAAACAAGUUAUUUACCAAUUCAACAUAAAUUAAGGUUACUAAAAUGGAAUGGAUACAAUUAUAAUACACGCCAAAGACCACUAUAUUUUCUAUGUUGAUGAUUGUUGAGAACCACUACACUUUCAAUGUUGAUAACAAUUGAGAACCAUACUUGCCUACCAUAGAAAAAUACAAAAAGAUGAGAGUAGCUGUGAGCUCUUAAGGGUUAACAUCAAUGGAUUCUGAAAUAAUUGCGCAUAUAAAAUAUAAAAUUAAAUGCAUUAUUGAAACAUCAUCAAGAUAACUGACUGAAUAUACUAUAGGUGUACAGAAAUCACAAGCGAUGAGGUGCAAUGCAUAAAGUAUUGCAAAUAACAAUUCUUAGCGCUAGGCUGAAAGCAAAGAAUUGAAUAUUCUACAAGAAUGCUAUGUUUGGGAGAAAAAUAGCUUUAUACAUAUUGGGAUUUUUUUCCUUUUUCUUUUUGGAGACAAGUCAAAUGUGAUAGAAAUCAAGCCUUAUUGUGCACACCAACUAACAAGCGAUAGAAUCAUGAAAGAAAUGUGUUGUAGGGCACAAUUCUCUCUUCCAAAUUAAAAGGAAGACCAAGGGGGUGAGCUAUUGCAACAAAAAUACAGUAUCUUGAAUUCCUCUAUUCAUAUAGCAUAUUAGAGAAUAACUACAGAAUCCACCAUCACAAAUUUUCAAUACAGUGUGCACAUUUUUAAACUACCUCAUAAUCAUAAUCGUCAAUUAUCCCUGACUAAUUUUAUGCGUAGUGAAGUUCUACAACACAAGCAAAAAAAAUUGUGUCUGCAGUAGGAAGAACCUCAGCAAACUAUGUGAAUACCUCAGUAUAAGAAAAACAGGAUAUGGUAUAGCUUCAUAACUAGUGGAAAUAUCUUUCAUUAUGAUAAAUGAUUGUACUACAGCAUGCAUAUGAUGAUAAAUAAACAACAUUAUGGACAAUGUGUUGUCUUAUAUAAGGACAUUACCAAAAUAAAUUGUUCUCUUACAAAUUAUUAUGUACCCUAACAUAACGCAUUUCUGAUGGGCUCAGGGUUGUCAUACAACACAAAGCAUGGUUGAGUUACCAAAACAUGCACAAAAGUCAGCAAUACAAUACUCAUAAGUUGAUUCAUUUACUCAGUCCCGAAGAUUUCAUUAAAAUUUACAAUUGUAUUUUACUAAUAAAAACCAUCCUUCCCCCACACGCCAUACUUUACAUAGGUAACCAUUCCGGAUCCUAUUAUGGCACGCUUCUGAGUUGAAAAGGCUGUCAAGCCCUUUGGAUUUAGUGCUCUUGCCAUCUUACAGCCCUUUAAUUGCGCUCUAUAAUAUUUUAAAGCAACAAUCCAUCACAGAAACAUAAGCAAAAUACAACGACCAAAUAACCAUGGCUAGACAACCGAUUUCAUAAUUUUAUUCGUACUACUCCCUCCGUUCCUAAAUAUAAGUCUUCAGAUACUUCAAUAUGGACUACAUAUGGAGCAAAAUGGGUGAAUCUAGACUCUAAAAUAUGUCUAUAUACAUCCAUAUGUAGCCCGUAUUGAAAUCUCUAGAAAGACUUAUAUUUACGAUCGGAAGGAGUAUAUGCCAACAAAAAUAAGUAGUGUGGUCAUAAUUCACCAGAAUCACAACUGAUAGAUGGUGUAUAUAAUUAUUCCACAUGCAUUAUAUUCAAAGCCCACAUAUAUCCAGUCCCCAAACAGCAUGUUCUUCACCCCAUAUUCAGAUUAUAUAUUUGAGCAAAUUCAAAAUGCAGCACAAAACAAAUAAUAUAUCAAGCACUAAGUUGAGUGAAAAAAUAAAUCAUAUAUCAAGUAUUAAGCUGAGUCAUUGUUUUAUAGUUUCCAUUUUUAGCUUUAUGUAAGCACAAUACAACUGUCAGGAUUAGGAAUAACCCAUUGUAAAAAAUAAGCCACAAAACGUAUUAGCUCAUUUGUGGAAAUUAUAACAGUGUGUCAGGGAGUGCUAAUAAUACACCUACUGUCCACUAGCUGGCAUCAAGAUAUUCUAUGGCUUGUACUUGUGAGUUCAAGUGUGACUAUACUGUAACUGAAUGCCAGAGCUGUUGAUAAUGUCAAUGAUGUGCUGGUCUCCAACCAGCACACAUGUUGCUUAAUGUCCGCGAGUUAAGUCUGCAGGGACAUAGUACUUUCAAAAUCGUUGUACAUGCCAAAUUGGUGAAUGGUAUUCAACACAAAGUUCCAUACACGAAUUGGUCAAUGCAGGCAUGAAAAUAAGGUUUAGUGCUGCGAUAACUUACGUGACAUAGCCAUUGUUGUCGAUAUCUGCAGCGAGAAACUCUGACACGGUCAUGUCUCUGGAGAGCACCCAGUUGGCCAUUGCACGGUGCCUCUUGUCGAUCCUCAUCUCCGCCAAGUAGAGGAAUGCCCGUGCCACGGCUAGCGUGGACACAAGAAGCCACGCAGAGGCAAAAAGGCGUCCAUGCAGCGUCCUGAACGCGUGAUCGCCGUACCCGACCGUGGUCACCGACAUCACUGCAAGGUAAACGGCAUCAAGCCAGCCCAUGCUCUCCACCUUCCUGAGCACGGUGGCCCCAACGCCGACGCAGAUGGCCACCACACCAAGGGCAAGGGCGACCUUCAUGCGGACGCGCAUUCGGCCCUUCUUGAUGUCAAAGAUGUAGUUGUGCCUGUGCUUGCGUGCAGAGCGGGGGUUCUUGAUUGCGGUGAUGAGGAGGUGCUCCUGGAGGUCGAGCACAUAGGACACCAUGCCGGAGAGGAGGAUGUCGACGAAGCCGAAGCCGAUGAGGACGAAGGAUAUGGCGAAGAGCUUGGCGGCAGGGCUGGCCGGGGUGAUGUCCCCGUAGCCGAUUGUGCAGAGCGUGACGAUGCAGAAGUAGAGGGCGUCGACGACGGGGUGGGUGGGCCCGGCGGAGGAGGUGAAGUUGGCCGGGAAGGCGGCGUAGAAGGUGACGCCGAGGGCGAGGUAGGCGAGCAAGAAGAGGAAGGCGUGCAGCACGAUGGCCGGCCUCCGCGGCGGCGGUGGCGGGUUGUGGUGGUCGGCCUCGGCGGAGGCGGCGAGGACGGCGGCGCUGAGCGGCGCCAUGGCGGGCGCGGUGCGGGAGCGGUGGAGGUUGGUGCGGCCGCUGAUGAGAUUGAAGAGCGAGGGCGUGGUGGGCUGGGGCGGGGCCUCCUCGUCGGAGGGAGGGGAGGAGGAGCAGGACGGGUGGUCGUAGUCGCGGAACGGGUCCGCGUGGCCGACGGAGAUGCGGCGGUAGUGGUGGUGCCCCGACGGCGGGGGAGAUGAGGUGAUUGAAGGUCGAAUGAGGAGGAGGAGGAGGAGGAGGAGGAGGGAAGGAGGGAGGCGGAGGCGGAGGCUGCGGGACGUUGGCGAUGGCCACUUGACGACGGCGAUGCCUA
rnacentral:lncRNA from 1 species